rnacentral:lncRNA from 1 species
CCAUGACUGGUUACUGCAACACCGUCAGGAAGCUGGAAAAGAAGUUUGAGGGGUUGGAGCUUCACCAUGUGCCCCGAUUGAAAAAUCAAGCUGCAGAUGAGUUGGCGAAGAUAGGUUCCAAGAGAGAGGCCAUCCCCCGCAAUGUGUUUCUGGAACAUAUUCAUUCACCUUCGGUUCAGGAGGAUCCCUUCACAGAAGAGUCGCCACAGCCCAAGAGUGCUACAGAUCCGACUGAAGUUGACAUCCCAGCCGUGGUCGACUUAGUCAUGGAGGUUCUGGUCAUCACUCCCGACUGGACAGUGGCGUACAUCGCAUACAUUCUUAGGAAAGAACUUUCGGAAGAAGAAGAAGAGGCUCGACAGGUCGUCCGGCGAUCCAAGGCCUUUACUGUGAUAAACGGGCAGUUGUUCAGAGAAAGUGCCACUGGAGUUUGCCAGAAGUGUAUCACGUCAGAGGAAGGUCGAGUGAUCCUCAAUGAUAUUCACUCGGGAACCUGCGGUCACCACGCGUCCUCUCGGACCAUCGUGGACAAAGCAUACCGAGCUGGAUUUUACUAGCCGCAGGCCAACGAGAUGGCUAAGGAAAUAGUGGACAAGUGUGAAGGCUGCCAGUUUUACUCCAACAUGUCUCAUAAACCUGCGUCGGCUCUAAAAACAAUUCCACUCGUAUGGCCCUUCGCCAUCUGGGGACAGGACAUGGUUGGACCUUUGAGGACAUGCAGGAGUGGAUUUACUUGUGUGCUAGUAGCAGUCGACAAGUUCACCAAGUGGAUCGAAGCCAAGCCCAUCAAAAGCCUUGAAGCAAGCACAACUGUGAGUUUCAUCAGGGGACUUAUAUUCAGAUAUGGCGUUCCACACAGCAUCAUCAUGGAUAACGGCUCGAACUUCGAUUCUGAAGAAUUCAAAGCCUUUUGCGCCUCCCAAGGCAUGAGAGUCGACUACGCUUCAGUCGCUCAUCCUCAGUCAAAUGGACAGGCCGAGUGGGCGAAUGGAUUGAUUCUCAAAGGAUUGAAGCCUUGGUUGAUGCGUGACCUGGAACUUGCAGCGGGAGCCUGGGUCGACGAGCUCCCAUCCGUGCUGUGGGGGUUGAGGACAACCCCUAACCGGUCGACUGGAAGGACUCCAUUCUUCUUAGUCUAUGGAGCUGAAGCCGUGCUCCCCAGUGAUUUGCUCCACAAUGCGCCUCGAGUCGAACUCUUCUCAGAAGAAGAAGCAGAACAAGCUCGGCAAGAUGCAGUCGACCUCUUAGAAGAAGAAAGAGAGAUGGCCUUGAUCCGGUCGACCAUCUAUCGGCAAGACUUGCGUAGAUUUCACGCAAGAAACGUGAGGGGUCGAGCAUUUCAAGAAGGAGACCUGGUUCUUCGAGUGGUCAAGCUUGCUCCCGCUUGGGAAGGCCCUUUCGUUAUCACCAAGGUGCUCCACAACGGAGCAAACCAUCUCUUCAACGUCGAACAUAAUAAAGAUGAGCCACGCGCCUGGAAUGCGGAUCUGCUCCGCCCUUUCUAUUCUUAAAUAUUUAGAAUGAUGAGAUGUAAUAAGAAAUCCCUUUUAGUUUGACUAUCAAAGACACAAUUUACUUCUUCUGAAUGAUUGUUAUUUAUUUCUUUUGUGCGAGUUACCUUAGCUGCGAAUCUUUUUCGCUUAAGACGAAGUGAUAAAAAUCCUACCGAGUGAUGAGUCUGCCUCUCACUCGAGGGGCUUAGCUACAGCCCAGUGCUCGCCUAAGUGAUAAAAAUCCUACCGAGUGAUGAGUCUGCCUCUCACUCGGGGGCUUAGCUGCAGCCCAGUGCUCGCCUAAGUGAUAAAAAUCCUACCGAGUGAUGAGUCUGCCUCUCACUCGGGGGCUUAGCUGCAGCCCAGUGCUCGCCUAAGUGAUAAAAAUCCUACCGAGUGACGAGUCUGCCUCUCACUCGGGGGCUUAGCUACAGCCCAGUGCUCGCCUAAGGGAUAAAAAUCCUACCGAGUGGAGAGCAAACCUCCCACUCGGGGGGCUUAGCUGCAGUCCCGUACUCGCCUAAGUUUGAGAAAUCCUACCGAGUGGAGAGCAAACCUCCCACUCGGGGGCUUAGCUGCAGUCCCGUACUCGCCUAAGUUUGAAAAAUCCUACCGAGUGGAGAGCAAACCUCCCACUCAGGGGCUUAGCUGCAGUCUCGCACUCGCCUAAGUUUGAAAAAUCCUACCGGGUGGUGAGCAAUCCUCCCACUCGGAGGCUUAGGUGCAGCCCAGUGCUCGCCUAAGUUUGAAAAACCUUACCGGGUGGUUGACAGGAAUGUCAAGACCAUUACUGAGUGCCUUGCUGAUGAGCUGAUCAAUGCUCCUCAAGGAUCACCCAAUCGAUUGACCAGAACGUCAAGACCAUUGCUGAAUGCCUUGCUGACGAGCUGAUCAAUGCUCCUCAAGGAUCACCCAAUCGGUUGAUAGGAACGUCAAGACCAUUGCUGAAUGCCUUGCUGAUGAGCUGAUCAAUGCUACUCAAGGAUCACCUGAUCGGCCGACUAGAAUGUCGAGACCAUUGCUGAGUGCCUUGCUGAUGAUAUGAUCAAUGCUACUCAAGGAUCAUCCGAUCAGUCGACUGGAACGCCAAGAUCAUUGCUGAACGCCUCGUUGAUGAGCUGAUCAAGGUUGCUCAAGGACCGCCCGAUCAGUCGACUGACCAUCCUUCUCCAGAAGCUGCAUCAAGCAAACAGACAACAAUUCAAGGGAAAAACAAUUUUUGUUCGAAGAUAGACGCAAUUUAUGAGGUGACAAAUCCAAAGUUUCUUAACCGCAGAAUAAAGUGCUCGGGCAUCAGGCCCGAAGGAGUUUUAACGGUUACAAAUUCAGUCGGCAUUCCGAGGCAAACAAAAGUGAUAGCAUAAUGUUUUUUUGUCACUCGACGGGAGAAGGACUGGCCAGGUCGCAGAAGCUGUCGAGGUGGAUGCUGUCGGCGAUGCGAGUGGCUGCCUCGAGGAAAGUGUCCAUGAAGUCCUGGAAGGAGUGCUUCUUAGUGUUUGCCACUUUGAGAGAUGCCAACUUGUCUUCCUUAGCUUCCUUGCAGUGCACUCGGACCAGAGACAAAGCGACAUCAGCACCACAGCGGGCAGAAGAUUUCUCCCACUCUUGCACUCGACUUGGAAUCUGGUUUAGCCGAGCCAUCAAGGACUCGAGGUCUUGAGACAUUUCCUCCCAAGGCCAGAUCUCAGCGUCCACUCGGGCCAUCGCCGCCUUCAGCCGAGCCUGUUAGUUGACUGCACCGUCCAAGUGCGAUUCCAGUCGAAGCAAGUUCAUCGCAACUUCAUCUUUCAUGGGACAGUUGAUGGGGUCGAGACCUGUCUCGACCCGCCCAGUUUCAGCCUCAAAGUCCUGACACAGUUCUGUCCCAUUGCAAAAAGUGAUGAAUCGACGACGAGAUAACAAAGUUCAAUCGGCAACAAAGUGAUGAGUCGACUGAUCAUACCUUCAAGCUUCAGAACAAGUUUGGCGGUGAGUUGCUCCAGAUAGGACUCUAGCUUGUCGGUCUUGGUCUUAAGGCCGCCAACUUCAGUGGACAGGUUUUCGUUGUCUUUCUUCAGUUGCUCAACUUCCUGGUUGGCGUCUGAGAUGGCAGCCUUCAGCUUCGUGUUCUCCUCCUCUAGUUGCUGACCGAAGCCAGCUUCUGGUCCACAAGCUUCGUCUUCUCGCAUGCUUCCUUCUGAGUGGCGGCCAGAUCCAGAUCCUUCUGCUCCAAAGCCUCCUUCAUCCUCUCUAAAGAAACAACACUAUUCAGACGAGACUGAAGUUGACGAUUUUCACUAAGCACAUCUGCUCGUGUGAAAUCACUCGGUUCAAAGAGACUGAAGGAAAAACUAGCAUGAAGUAUGAAGCUACAAAACAGACAGGAUGGUCGAGUGAUUUCUUUUGACUAAUGUUGAGUCCAUGGAUUAUACGCACUCUCACCUUUCCACCUUUGCUAGCCUCUUCGGUACCGUGCAUUGCCCUUUCUCACCUUGAGAGUUGGUGCAAACUUCGCCGUGCAUCCAAACCCCGUGAUACGAUACGCUCUAUCAUACAUAAACCUCCUUAUAUCUUCCUCAAAACAGCCACCAUACCUACCUAUCAUGGCAUUUCCAUAGCCAUUCUGAGAUAUAUUACCAUGCAACUUGCAUCAUCAUCAUCAUGACAUACAUUACUUUUGUCAUAUUGCCAUUGCAUGAUCAUGUAGUUGACAUCGUAUUUGUGGCAAAGCCACCAUGCAUUAUUUUUCAUACAUGUCACUCUUGAUUCAUUGCACCAUCCCGGUACACCGCCGGAGGCAUUCAUAUAGAGUCAUAUCUUGUUCUAAGUUUCAAGUUGUAAUCCUUAUGUUGUAAUCAAUAGAAGUGUGAUGAUCAUCAUUAUUAGAGCAUUGCCCAAAAAAAAGAGAAAGGCCAAAAAAAAGAAAAAAAAGAAAGGCCCCCAAAAAAUAAAAAUAAAAUAAAAAGGGCAAUGCUACUAUCUCUUUUUCCACACUUGUGCUUCAAAGUAGCACCUUGUUCUUCAUGUAGUGAGUCUCAUAUACUGUGCUUCAAAGUAGCACCAUGUUUUUCAUAUAGUGAGUCUCAUAAGUUGUCUUUUUAUACUAGUGGGAAUUUUUCAUUAUAGAACUUGGCUUGUAUAUUCCUACGAUGGGCUUCCUCAAAUGCCCUAGGUCUUCAUGAGCAAGCAAGUUGGAUGCACACCCACUAGUUUUCUUUUGUUGAGCAUUCAUAGCUCUAGUGCAUCCGUUGCAUGGCAAUCCCUACUCCUCAUGUUGACAUCAAUUGAUGGGCAUCUCCAUAGCCCGUUGAUUAUCCUUGUCAAUGUGAGACUUUCUCCUUUUUUGUCUUCUCCACACAAUCCCCAUCAUCAUAUUCUAUUCCACCCAUAGUGCUAUAUCCAUGGCUCACGCUCAUGUAUUGCGUGAAGGUUGAAAAAGUUUGAGAUUAUUUAAGUAUGAAACAACUGCUUGGCUUGUCAUCGGGGGUAUAGAAGUUGGGAACAUCUUUGUGUGACAAAAAUGAAGCAUAGCCUAACUAUAUGAUUUUGUAGGGAUGAACUUUCUUUUGCCAUUAUUUUGAGAAGACAUGAUUGCUUUGACUAGUAUGCUUGAAGUAUUAUUAUUUUUAUGUCAAUAUGAACUUUUGUCUUGAAUCUUUCGGAUCUGAAUAUUCAUGCCACAUUUAAGAAGAUUCACAUUGAAAUUAUGCCAAAGUAUCACUCCGCUUCAAAAAUUCUUUUUUAUCAUUUACCUACUCGAGGACGAGCAGGAAUUAAGCUUGGGAAUGCUUGAUACGUCUCCAACAUAUCUAUAAUUUUUGAUUGCUCGAUGAUACUUUAUCUACUGUUUUAGGCAACAUUGGGCUUUAUUAUCCACUUUUAUAUUAUUUUUGGGACUAACCUAUUAACCGGAGGCCCAGCCCAGAUUUGCUGUUUUAUGCCUAUUUCAGUGUUUCGAGGAAAAGGAAUAUCAGACGGAGUCAAAACGGAACGAAAUCAACUAGAGAAGUUAUUUUUGGAAGGAACCCACCUGACGGACUUGGACCCCAUGUCAGAAGAUACGGGAGGUGCUCACGAGGGUGGGGGGCGCCCCCCCCCCCCCGGGCGCGCCCCCUGCCUCGUGGGGCCCCCGAGCUCCACCGACGUACUCCUUUCACCCAUAUAUACCUAUGUACCAUAAAACUUCCAGAACAGAAGAUAGAUUGGGAGUUCCGCCGCUGCAAGCCUCUGUAGCCACCAAAAACCUCUCGGGAGCCCGUUCUGGCACCCUGCCGGAGGGGGAUCCCAUCACCGGUGGCCAUCUUCAUCAUCCCGGCGCUAUCCAUGACGAGGAGGGAGUAGUUCACCCUCGGGGCUGAGGGUAUGUACCAGUAGCUAUGUGUUUGAUCUCUCUCUCUCUCUCUCGUGUUCCAUCUAUGGCACGAUCUUGAUGUAUCCCGAGCUUUGCUAUUGUAGUUGGAUCUUAUGAUGUUUCUCCCCCUCUACUCCCUUGUGAUGAAUUGAGUUUCCCUUUUGAAGUUAUCUUAUCGGAUCGAGUCUUUUAUGAUAACACUUGACGUAUGUCUUGCCGUGAUUAUCUGUGGUGACAAUGGGAUAUCAUGUGCCACUUGAUGUAUGUUUUGGUGAUCAACUUGUGGGUUUCGUGACAUUGGGAACCUAUGCAUAGGGGUUGGCACACGUUCUUAACUCUCCGAUAGAAACUUUGGGGCACUCCUUGAAGUACUUUGUGUUGGUUGGAUGAAUCUGAGAUUGUGUGAUGCAUACCGUAUAAUCAUGCCCAUGGAUACUUGAGGUGACAAUGGAGUAUCUAGGUGACAUUAGGGUUUUGGUUGAUUUGUGUCUUAAGGUGUUAUUCUAGUACGAACUCUUUUAUAGAUUGAUCCGAAAGAAUAACUUUGAGGUGGUUUCGUACCCUACCAUAAUCUCUACGUUUGUUCUCCGCUAUUAGUGGCUUUGGAGUGACUCUUUGUUGCAUGUUGAGGGCUUGUUAUAUGAUCUAUCUAUGUUAUUAUUGUUGAGAGAACUUGCACUAAUGAAAGUAUGAACCCUAGGCCUUGUUUCCUAUCAUUGCAAUACCGUUUACGCUCACUUUUAUCAUUAGUUACCUUGCUGUUUUUAUUAUUUCAGAUUACAAAAACCUUUAUCUACUAUCUAUUUUGCACUUGUAUCACCAUCUCUUCGCCGAACUAGUGCACCUAUACAAUUUACCAUUGUAUUGGGUGUGCUGGGGACACAAGAGACUCUUUGUUAUUUGGUUGCAGAGUUGCUUGAGAGAGACCAUCUUCAUCCUAUGCCUCCUACGGAUUGAUAAACCUUAGGUCAUCCACUUGAGGGAAAUUUGCUACUGUCCUACAAACCUGUGCACUUGUAGGCCCAACGACGUCUACAAGAAGAAGGUUGUGUAGUAGACAUUAACACUGAUGACUUCCCGUUUAAAAUAGGACUGCACCAGGGAUAAGCUUUGGGCCCUUAUCUUUUCGCUCUGGCGAUGGAUGAUGUCACAUGGGUAUACAAGGAGAUAUCCCAUGGUGUAUGAUGUGGUUCUAGUCGAUGAUAGUCGGACAGGGGUCAAUAGAAAGUUAGAGCUAUGGAGACAAACCUUGGAAUCUAGAGGUUUUAGACUUAGUAGAAGUUAAAUCGAGUACAUGAGGUGCGGUUUCAGAACUACUAGGCACGAGGAGGAGGAGNNNNNNNNNNNNNNNNNNNNNNNNNNNNNNNNNNNNNNNNNNNNNNNNNNNNNNNNNNNNNNNNNNNNNNNNNNNNNNNNNNNNNNNNNNNNNNNNNNNNNNNNNNNNNNNNNNNNNNNNNNNNNNNNNNNNNNNNNNNNNNNNNNNNNNNNNNNNNNNNNNNNNNNNNNNNNNNNNNNNNNNNNNNNNNNNNNNNNNNNNNNNNNNNNNNNNNNNNNNNNNNNNNNNNNNNNNNNNNNNNNNNNNNNNNNNNNNNNNNNNNNNNNNNNNNNNNNNNNNNNNNNNNNNNNNNNNNNNNNNNNNNNNNNNNNNNNNNNNNNNNNNNNNNNNNNNNNNNNNNNNNNNNNNNNNNNNNNNNNNNNNNNNNGAUGUUAGCCUUGAUGCGCAGGUGGUGCCUUAGAAGGCCACCUUUAGAUAUUUGGGGUCUAUGCUGCAGAAGGAUGGGGAUAUUGAUGUGUAUUUUAUCCGCAUGAUGAGACAAUAAAACAUUUGUUCUUCCAAUGUAAAUUGGCUCGUUCUACAUGGUCAGUCAUCCAAAUAGCUUCUGGCUUGUACCCUCCUUGUAGUGUUGCUAAUAUAUUUGGCAACUGGUUACAUGGGAUUGAUCACAGGUUCAGAAUUCUACUUAGGGUGGGAGGGCUUGCUGUGAUUUGGUCGCUUUGGCUAUGUAGAAAUGAUAAGAAUUUUAACGAUAAAAGUACUUCGCUUAUGCAGGUUAUCUACAGAUGUACUGGGACGCUUCGUUUAUGGUCUUCUCUACAACGAGUGGAGAAUCGAGACCUGUUUACGGUGGUGUGUACAUGAUUGGAGGCUUUGGCGAGGGAUACUUUUACCCAACAUGGGUGGCAGCAUGAUCUUAGGAUUGGGCCACCGACGGUUUAGGCGCUAUACAAAUAUACAUUUUUCCUUGUAUUUCGCCUUCCUAUUUUAUUUUUGCUUGUCGUGAGGACUUUGUUGGCUAUGUGCAUCUUAGUUAUGCAGAGGCCGGGUGUAAUACUUAAACCUUUUAAGUAAUAAAGCGCCCCUUUUCGAAAAAAUCACCAGAGAACUAAUCAUGGGCAGGGGUGCAUGAAAACAUGAUAUCCAUGUGUGAGAACCAUGAGCUGGUUGCGAGAUCUUAUUGGUUUCGCAUGUAGCCUACCCUAACUUGUUUAGGACUAAAGGCUUUGUUGUUGUUGUUGCGUUGUGCUUUCACUUCAGUGUAACUUUGUAAAUUUCACAGUCCCUAGGAUUGAAUUACUCCACUAAGGACUCAUAAAAAUGGGGCAAACUGACUACCUAGUAGUAAUCUCAAGCGACUGGACGACGAUGGAAGCAGCAAAGCACUUGACGGCGGUCCUACACGAAGGAGAUUUCUCCAUUUUCUCGUGGAAACCAUAUCAUAGAUCAAUAAUGUUACACAAACAAAAUAAUAGGUUUGCAACAGAACACCCACCCAUACCAGACCAGCAUCAUUUUCGUCGUAAGAUUCCUUACAAGCACAUAGACAUCAGCUUCUCAUCAGCACGGUACUCAUGAAAAAUAGCAGCAAUGAAAUAAACGCAACAACAUAGUUGCCCAUGUCUCGGAUACACAUACAGAAUAUUACUAGAUCUGGAUUAACCAAGACUAAAUUAUUGGACAAAAACUUAGAUUAAAACAAAGGUAGGCAUGCCCAAAGGGAAAGGCAAUUUUUGUGGAGCUGGCUAGAACUUGGAAUACGUCAUGGUCCCGAACCUGGCAUAGAACAAACGCUCGAACUCCUUGAGAACUGCAGCCUCUAUACACAUGAUGACGCGCACGCUGCCAUCCCCCUGCGUGCUCUCCAGCAGGUGCGCAAAGCCUCCACGGUUCGAUUCAGCACACAACGUAGCCAACGGCUUUCCCCAACCAAAACCAAAUCAAUAGAACGGCAUGCCAAGCCAACUUAUCAUUCGCAUAUCUGUCGCCGGCAGACUACCUAAAGCAGUGCGGUUGUCUCUCUUCGUUAAUGCUAACUCGAUGUAGUCGACUGCCCAAUGCACUAGCUCAUCAUUCACCCGACUGAUGGUGUAUCUGAUUUGGCGUGCGAUGUAGACCAGCUCGGCAACACUUAGAUUUAUUAACGCGUUGCCAAAGUAGCCAUCCAGGAGUGGCGGCACCAUGCUUCGCCGGACGUUGGCCACAAAAGCCAAGCGUGUUGUGGAGUUCGGCGGUAGCCGCCGGGCUAAACACAUGCAUUGCCACACAUGGGCACUGACGGCACUGAAGGUGCUCAUGCUUCCGCCAGCACAAAUGUGCUUAAGAGUGGAAACUUGGUCCUUCUGAAGAGUGAACACCUCGUAAACAAUAGGCCCCAGUGUUUGGGAUAGGAUUAUCUGGGGAAAAAAGUUGCGAGUGCGUUGGGGUGAACAAUGGGUGGGUCGCGUGCACAUAAGCUGGUGCGGUCAUGGUAAGGGAUGUUCACCACAGCCCGGUCACCGUCCCUAGAGAAAGCUGACCAUGUCCGGAAGAAGUGGAAUGCGGCAGUUCCAUCCAUAGCGCCAUGGUGCGUUACCGUCCUUAAGACCACCCCGCCACACUUCAAGAAUGUCACCUACAUAUAUUGAUUACUGGCACACAUUACAUGGAGUACAAGUUUGUACUAUUGUAGUGUGCUACUAUAUUUUUUUAGCAGCUCCGACCUUUCAUUAUCAAGAAAGAGAAGGGACUAGUUCACAUACAAAACUGGCAGAAACCAAAUGUAGUGUACCAGCAUAGUGUUGAUGUGGGAUGUGGCUAGAAAGCAAGACAAAAUGAAAGAAAGAACAACUAACUCAGAAAGAAUCACACAGACCUGAAUGGCGCACAAGAUGCCUGCUGAGUCGUCAACGAGGGGAACAAACAACCUCCUUAGCCUUCGUGAUGGCUUGAAGUCGCUGAAGUCAUCAACAGUUAGACGAGAGCGAGCCACAAGGAAAGGUAAACCCUCGCCGUUGCAGUCGAUCUCCAAUUUGCCCUUGGCGUCCGGCUUGAGACGGCCGGCCAGGGGUAGCCACGAGGGCCUUGCCUAAUGCCGUCUUCAACCUGGCCACAUCAAAGAAGUCGUCCUCGGUGGUUCCGAUGGAGCCACAUCGACGGUAGAAAUGGACAAGUGGGGUGUGGCCUUUGUUGGCUAGCAUGAGGUCGAGCGGCGACAGCCGCAUCGCUCUUCCCGGCGUGGCAGCGGCCGGCAUUACAAGGCAAGACUCUACCACCUGCACCUCCUCCUCACGGACCAUUCUAGCUAGCUCCUUGUGCUCUCCUCUCCUGGCCGUUCCUCAGCAGCAAGUAUAUAAAGAGUAAGGAUCACAUUUAUAAUCUAUAAUAUCUAAAUAGUUCAUCCCCACUAAACUAUUUCUCAUGACAUGCAGCCUAUCCACCUCAACAGCAUUGCCACAUCAGCGUUUCCUUACAGGCUUACAUGGGACCCACCACCGGUUGACUAGCGUACAGAACAAUAGCCACGAUAGAGCAUUCUCACACGUUUUUCCGGUACGUCCGCACGUUUCCUGGUGCACAUGCACGGUUGAGGCAGAUAAAACCGGUGAUUGCUGCGUUUUGCACGCUAGCUUUGGAUCUCAAUGGUUGGCUCACAUUUAUUAUCUUCCUAAUUAACUUCCACUCUGAUUGAUUUCCCGUAAAUCUCUCCAUCUUCUAAACAGGUGCAUUUUGUUCUUCUCCAGCGACUAGACUAGAGGAGUACUAAUACAGUCUAGUAGAAUGCCCGUGCGUUGCCAUGGGCUAUAAGACAUAUAAAUGAAUUAAACAAAUAAUUAAGGUCGUCUUUGUUGUCAAAACUCAUUUCUCCCUUGGACACCGGGCGUGUUCGGACUUCAAAUGGGCGCCCAAGGCUCCCCGAGUUUGAGCUCCGACAAAUCCAGGCUUAUCUGGGGAGAAUUUUGAUUAUCCGGACUAUUCAACAUGUUAUCUCCAACAUACGGGCCCAACACAAUAACCGUCAGCCGGACAUUUCUCUCUAGUGCUCUCUCCUUUAAAACCGGAUGGCGUCCACCUAACCUUCGCCAUGACACCCUCUCUCUUUCACACUAUACUUCCCACAGACCGCCAAGGAGUCUCCCACCAACCACCCCGCCCCCGUGCAUCAAGGGAGAGGAGGCGUGCGCCGCCCAUGACAACCCCCGAGCCAAGAAUGCAGAUCUAAUGUCUCCCGAGCCAUUGCCAUGUUGUAACAUAGCUGAAGAUCGUGCAUUACCAUGGAACAAAAAUAUGAUGUCCAUUGUUGGACAUGCAACUCAUACACCACCAUACCUGUUAUUAAGCGUUGAAGCAAACAACCAAUGCAUUUAUCCUUCUACCCUAAUCAAAAUUUUGCACGACUACCUUUUUAUCCUAACCAAAAAAUUGUAGGAUCUAAAAAAUUCUUGCUUCGCAUAUACAACGGUGCGGAUUAACCCCAGAAAAGGCAAGUGAGGCUAUCUUUUGAAGGCAUCAAAAUAAGUGCAACAUACUUUUCCUCAACCACGCAUAUACAUAUUCCUUCAUAUAUUGAUGAACUAACAUGCACCACAUACCUCCUAUCCAAAUUUUACUGCUCAUCAUAUAUAUCUCUACUAUCUAAAAUCACUCUAGUAAUCUGAAAUUAGCUAUCGAUAACCGAUUGGUUUGCAUCUGAAUUAGAAACACAAAAUUGUCUUUGUCUUCAAAAAUAUGUAUUCUACAUGUUGGAACAUGGAGCAAGACGAUUUCAGAAUACGAACGACCAUAGGUAAGCAUCUAGAGUUAAGAGGUAGAAAUACAUCAGGUUACUCUCCCAUAGUGGUGGAGUGGCAUGACUGGAGAGCGGCAACUGCACGCGGUCGCCUUGGCCAUGAGUCGCGGUCUCCUAGGCCAUGAGUCUAGGGUCUCCCCUGAAAGAACAUUAAAAGGCAGCAGCUAGGCAAUCGGUCAGAUAUGUCAUGAACGCACACAAUUUUUCCAUAACCAUUUUUUGCAUUAUCUAUGCUCGGAUCAAGCACAAAUAUCAAAACAGAGAAGUGCAGAAAAAUUGGAUCCGAAGCGAAAGAGAUAAGGUUUAUGAGCAGAUACAGAGGUUAAGGACUCACGUUACAAUAACACCACUAUUUGCAACACCCUCCUUAUUUUAGCAAAAAAAUAAUAGUAAGUUGUUUGGGUACAACGCACCUUAAGGUCUAUAAUUUAUAAAUCAUCGCAUAAAAUGUUGUGGUGUGCACCUUAAGAUCCCUUAUACACUUUGAAAUGAAACUAUGAAAGAAUGAAAUUUGAUUUAGUACAUAUAAAGUUGAGAUGUGUAUGUUCCAUGUUGGAAAUUUAUUUCUUCUAAGGAAAGGAUUCAACAUGAGGCAUAAAUCAUGUUGGAAACACAUUUGUAGCUGGCCCUACUAAGUACGAAAGGAUUAACAUCAUACAUUUUAUAUACAGUGUAAUUUGAUGUGUUAUGCUAUUGCAUAUUGUAAGUGCAUCUAGUGCCACCCCUAGUUGGUUUUGGAGUAUCGACGACAAACUUGGUUGAGGAACUAAUGUGUUUGUGAGAUUUGCAGGAUAACAGAGGUAGUAGUCCCACGUUGAUUCGGUUUACCUACCAGAGAUGACCCCUAAAAAUGUGUGAAGACAUUGAAGACAAUGGUGGUAUAUGAAGACAUUCACAUUGAAGACUAUGACAGGAGAAGACAUCGCGUGAAGACUAUGGAGCGCGAAGACAUAGUUGUUUCAUAGUUUCCUUUUCUUCUUUCUUGAGUCAGAGUGAUUGAUGCGAUGCUCAACCAAAUCCUAUGUCUUCGAGCGAAGAUAAUGAGAGCAAACCUUAUCCAGAGCUGGAUGAGUCAGCUUUACUUGUAGCCCAAGUCAAGCUGCCGCGUGUGUUUGAAAUCUGACCGUUGGAACACGUGUCAGUUCCUUAGUGACCCACGGUCAUUUUGGACAAAUCGGGUUGGGUUGCCUCCUGGCUAUAAAUAGCCCACCCCGUACAUCAUAAAUUGGUGGCUGCUCAGAGUUAGUGCACGGCUUUUGUCGUUUGAGAGCAACCCACCUCCGAACCCUUUGAUAGAGAAUCCUUGCAAGGACAAAGCUCAAAACACCCAGAGCCAAAGAGUGUUAGGCAUCACAGAAGUCUUUCUGUCCACGUGAUCUGAAGACUUAUAACACUUGAGGAAUGUGAAUCCUCCAGCCGGUUAGGCAUCGCGUUCUGAGCAUCCAAGAGUCAUUGUGGAUUGUCGGUGAACGAAGUCUAUGAAGGUUUGGAAGUCUCCCUUGAAGACUUACCAGAGUGAUUUGGCGAGGACUAAGUGUUCUUAGCUCAAGGGGAAUGAUAACCCACAAGUGUAGGGGAUCGCAACAGCUUUCGAGGGUAAAGUAUUCAACCCAAAUUUAUUGAUUCGACACAAGGGGAGCCAAAGAAUAUUCUUGAGCAUUAGCAGUUGAGUUGUCAAUUCAAUCACACCUAGAUAACUUAGUAUCUGUAGCAAAGUAUUUAGUAGCAAAGUAAUAUGAUAAUAAAGGUAACGAUAGCAAAAGUAAUAUUUCUGGGUUUUGUAGUGAUUGUAACAAUAGCAACGGAAAAGUAAAUAAGCGAAGAACAAUAUGUGAAAAGCUCAUAGACAAUGGAUCAGUGAUGGAUAAUUAUGCCGGAUGCGAUUCCUCAUGUAAUACCUAUAACAUAGGGUGACACAGAACUAGCUCCAAUUCAUCAAUGUAAUGUAGGCAUGUAUUCCGAAUUUAGUCAUACGUGCUUAUGGAAAAGAACUUGCAUGACAUCUUUUGUCCUACCCUCCCGUGGCAGUAGGGUCCUAGUGGAAACUAAGGGAUAUUAAGGCCUCCUUCUAAUAGAGAACCGGAACAAAGCAUUAGCACAUAGUGAAUACAUGAACUCCUCAAACUAUUGUCAUCAGCGAGAAGUAUCCAGAUUAUUGUCACUUCGGGGUUGUCGGGUCAUAACACAUAAUAGGUGACUAUAGACUUGCAAGAUAGGAUCAAGAACACACAUAUAUUCAUGAAAACAUAAUAGGUUCAGAUCUGGAAUCAUGGCACUCGGGCCCUAGUGACAAGCAUUAAGCAUAGCAAAGUCAUAGCAACAUCAAUCUCAGAACAUAGUGGAUACUAGGGAUCAAACCCUAACAAAACUAACUUGAUUACAUGGUAAAUCUCAUCCAACCCAUCACCUUCCAGCAAGCCUACGAUGGAAUUACUCACGCACGGCGGUGAGCAUCAUGAAAUUGGUGAUGGAGGAUGGUUGAUGAUGACGACGGCGACGAAUCCCCCUCUCCGGAGCCCCGAACGGACUCCAGAUCAGCCCUCCCGAGAGAGAUUAGGGCUUGGCGGCGGCUCCGUAUCGUAAAACGCGAUGAAACAUUCUCUCUGAUGUUUUUCUCCCCGAACAUGAAUAUAUGGAGUUGGAGUUGAGGUCGGUGGAGGUCCAGGGGGCCCACGAGACAGGGGGGCGCGCCCCCACCCUCGUGGACAGGGUGUGGACCCCCUGGUCUUGAUUCUUUCGCCAGUAUUUUUUAUAUUUUCCAAAAAGUGCCUUCGUGGAUCUUCUGGACAUUCUGAGAACUUUUCUUUUCUACACAUAAAACAACAUCAUGGCAGUUCUGCUGAAAAACAGCGUCAGUCCGGGUUAGUUUCAUUCAAAUCAAGCAAGUUAGAGUCCAAAACAAGGGCAAAAGUGUUUGGAAAAGUAGAUACGUUGGAGACGUAUCAACUCCCCCAAGCUUAAACCUUUGCUUGUCCUCAAGCAAUUCAGUUGAUAAACUGAAAGUGAUAAUGAAAAAAAUUUACAAACUCUGUUUGCUCUUGUUGUUGUAAACAUGAAAAGACAGCAUUCAGGUUUCAGCAAAUAUUAUGAACGAACCAUACUCACAAUAACACUUAGGUCUCACAAUUACUCAUAUCAAUAGCAUAACCAGCUAGCGAGCCAUAAUAAUAAAACUUGGAUGACAACACUUUCUCAAAACAAUCAUAACAUGAUAUAACAAAAUGGUAUCUCGCUAGCCCUUUCUAAGACCGCAAAACAUAAAUGCAGAGCACCUUUAAAGAUCAAGGACUGACUAAACAUUGUAAUUCAUGGUAAAAGAGAUCCAGUCAGGUCACACCCAAUAUAAACCAACAAUUAUGAAUGCAAAUGACAGUGUGCUCUCCAGCGGGUGCUUUUUAAUAAGAAGGGUGAUGACUGAACAUAAAAGUAAAUAGAUAGGCCCUUCGCAGAGGGAAGCAGGGAUUUGUAGAUAUGCCAGAGCUCGGUUUUAAAAUAGAGAUUGAAUAACAUUUUGAGCGGCGUACUUUUGCUGUCAACGCAACAACUAUGAGAUGGUUGUAUCUUCCAUACUACAUGCAUUAUAGGCAGUUCUCAAACAGAAUGGUAAAGGUUUAUACUCCCCCAACCACCAACAAGCAUCAAUCCAUGGCUUGCUCGAAACAACGAGUGCCUCCAACUAACAACAACCCUGGGGGAGUUUUGUUUAUUUAUUUUGAUUUGCUUUGAUCUUUUUGGAUCAUGGGACUGGGCAUCCCGGUUACCGGCCCUUUCUCAUGAAUGAGGAGCGGAGUCCACUCCUUUUGAGAAUAACCCACCUAGCAUGGAAGAUAUAGGCAGCCCUAGUUGUAACAUGAGCUGCCUGAGCAUACAAAACAGAAUUUCAUUUGAAGGUUUGGAGUUUGGCACAUACAAAUUUACGUAGAACGGCAGGUAAAUACCGCAUAUAGGAAGGUAUGGUGGACUCAUAUGGAACAACUUUGGGGUUUAAGGAGUUUGGAUGCACAAGCAAUAUUCCCGCUUAGUACAGGUGAAGGCUAGCAAAAGACUGGGAAGCGACCAACUAAGAGAGUGACAACAGUCAUAAACAUGCAUUAAAAUUAAUUUACACCGAAUACAAGCAUGAGUAGGAUAUAAUCUACCAUGAACAUAAAUACCAUGAAGGCUAUGUUGAUUUGUUUCAACUACAUGCGUGAACAUGUGCCAAGUCGAGUCACUCAAUUCAUUCAAAAGAGGAUACCAUCCCAUCAUAUCCCAUCAUAAUUAUUCUAAUAGCAUGUUGGCAUGCAAGGUAAACCAUUAUAACUCAUAGCUAAUAAAGCAUGGCACAAGCCACUAUAAUCUCUAAAUGUCAUUGCAAAUAUAUUUACUUCAUAAUAAGCUGACUCAGAAAUGAUGAACUCAUCAUAUUUACAAAAACAAGAGAGGUCGAGUUCAUACCAGCUUUUCUCAUCUCAAUAAGUUCAUCAUAUAUCGUCAUUAUUGCCUUUCACUUGCACGACCGAACGAUGUGUAUAAUAAUAAAAGUGCACGUGCAUUGGACUAAACUGGAAUCUGCAAGCAUUCAACUCAAGAGAGAAGACAAGUAAUAUGGGCUCUAAGUUAAAUAAACAAUCAUGCAUAUGAGAGCCACUAAACAUUUUCAAUAUGGUCUUCUCGACCCCCAAAGGAAAGAGAAGAAAAUAAAACUAUUUACACGGGAAAGCUCCCAACAAGUAAGAAGAAGAACGAGAAAUCUUUUUGGGUUUUCAUUUUAAUUCUACUACAAGCAUGGAACUUAAACUACUAAUUUUUUGGUUUUUCUCAAAGUUUAUCAAACACACAAGAAGAAAGCGAAAAAGAAAUUAAACUAACAUGGAUAAUACAAUGAAAGAGUAUGAGCACCGACGACUAGUGUGUGAACAUGAAUGUAAAGUCUGCGAUAAAUACAUACUCCGCCAAGCUUAGGCUUUUGGCCUAAGUUGGUCUAAUACCAAGGACCGCCUGGCUGAUAUCCGUAGUUGUAGCUGGGGUCGUACUGAGAUGCAGCGGCAACCGCCUCCUGAGCUGCGGCGUGUUGGCGAGCUGCCUCCGCUCUCCCCUUGUGUUCAACUGCUUCCUCCCUGGUGACAACAUAUCUUCCUUUUGCCUGAUAAUCAAAAAGUUGGGGAGCAGGAAGAGUAACAUGGACGACGUUGCGUCUAUUAUAGAUUAGUCGAUAAUGGAGGAAUUGUUCAUUCCUCCUAAGAAACUGAUGGUUGACCAUAGCGUCAUAAUCUAAAUAAGCAGGAGGUAUCAUCACAUCCCCCUCUCGUGGGGCUAAACCAAGAUAAUUAGCCACACGGGUUGCAUAAAUUCCUCCAAAUAAAUUUCCCUUUCUACUAUUAUUCUGCAACCUACGUGCAACUAUUGCCCCCAAGUUAUAACCUUUCUAUCCUAACACAGCACUCUGGAGGACACACAGAUCAGGGACACACAUGUGACAAGCUUCAUCUUUACCGUUAAUGCAUCUACCAAUGAAGAGAGAAAAAUAAUGUAUAGCAGGAAAAAUGAAUGCUCCCUAUGGUAGCUUGUGCUAUGUCCCUGGAUUCUCCCAUAGUAAUACUAGCAAGGAAGUCUCUAAAUUCAGAUUUGUGAGGAUCAUUAAUAUUACCCCACUGCGGGAGUUUGCAAGCAGUUGUAAAAUCCUCUAAAUCCAUGGCAUAAGAUGUAUCAUAAAUAUCAAAUAGGACACUAGGAUAAUUACAUGUACAGUUAUAUUUAAAUCUCCGCACAAAGAAAUCAGUCAAUUGAUAGUCCUGAGGACACUUAUCUUGUAAGAAGUCCUCCAGCUCAGCAUUACGCACAUACGCGCCAAAUUCCUCCUUAAAGCCUACUCCGACCAUAAAAUCAUCGGAUGGCCACUCACAAGCUCGUACAUCCGCGUCCCUCGGCAAUUCAACAUCUUGCUCACGUAUAGCAAUCCUGGGCCCUUUCUUCACCGAGGAACUACCUUGGUACAUUCUCCUAGACAUAAUUCUUUUUCUGCAAAAUUUCUGAAAUUUUAGUAACUUCAAAAUAAAAGUGAACAAAACUAAACAAGAUUGGUAGCAACUACUUCUACAAGUGCCUAGAGCUUAUAUCAUGCAUUAGAAUUGCUUGGGACCUCAUAAAUUCAACAUGCAAGAUCAAGAAUAUGGUCACCUAUGCAGCAAAAAUUUGCAAUGAAUAAAGCACUAGAACAAAAACUAAUUGGACCAAUGGAGGAGUCACAUACCAAGCAACAAUCUCCCAAAGCAGUUUUGUUAAUGGAGCUUUGAGCAAGGAGAUCGAAAAUCGCAGCAAAAUGAGCUUGAACUCGUGCUUGAGCUAGAUGGGGAUUUUUUGGGUAGAAGAUGAAGCGUGUGGGUUCUGGCAUAAGUGGAGGGGGGCCACCAGGGGCCCACAAGACAGGGGGCGUGCCCAGGAGAGGUGGGCACGCCCUCCACUCUCGUGGCCUGGUGCUUGCCCCUCCUGUAGUGAUUUGAGUGCCUAAAAUCCUCAAAUAUUCCAUAAAAAAUCAUACUAAAUUUGCAGGGCAUUUGGAGCACUUUUAUUUUUUGGAUAUUUUUUAAUGCACGGAUAAUUCAGAAAACAGACAUAUAAUACUAUUUUUGCUUUAUUUAUUCUAAGUAACAGAAAGUAAAAAGAGAGUACAGAAGGUUGUGCCUUCUAGUUUCAUUCAUCUCAUGAUCAUCAAAAUGAAUCCACUAACAAGGUUGAUCAAGUCUUGUUAACAAACUCAUUCCGAAUAACACGGAACCGGAGAAAUUUUGAAUAACACUAAGUUACCUCAACGGGGAUAUGAAAAUCCCCAUCAAUAAGAAUGUCAUAUUUUUUUCUUGACAGUAGGUAGAGGAAAUUCAAAACCUUCAAUAAUGAUAGUUGGAACUUUUCCAAUAGAAUUGAUGCUAUGAACUUGAGAUUGUUUCCUUGGAAAGUGUACCGUAUGCUCAUUACCAUUAACAUGAAAAGUGACAUGGCCUUUGUUGCAAUCAAUAACAGCCCUGCAGUAUUUAAAAAGGGUCUACCAAGGAUAAUAGACAUACUAUCGUCCUCGGGAAUAUCAAGAAUAACAAAGUUCGUUAGGAUAGUGACAUUUGCAACCACAAUAGGCACAUCCUCACAAAUACCGACAGGUAUAGCAGUUGAUUUAUCAGCCAUUUGCAAAGAUUUUUCAGUAGGUGUCAACUUUUUCAAUUCAAGUCUACGAUAUAAAGAGAGAGGCAUAACACUAACACCGGCUCCAAGAUCACAUAAAGCAGUUCUAACAUAAUUUCUUUUAAUGGAGCAUGGUAUAGUUGGUACACCCGGAUCUCCAAGUUUCUUUGGUAUUCCAUCCUUAAAAGUGUAAUUAGCGAGCAUGGUGGAAAUUUCAGCUUCCGGUAUCUUUCUUUUGUUUGUGAUGAUAUCCUUCAUAUAUUUAGCAUAAGGAUUUACUUUAAGCAUAUCAGUUAAGCGCAUACGUAAGAAGAUAUGUCUAAUCAUUUUAGCAAAGCGCUCAAAAUCCUCAUCAUCCUUUGUCUUGGAUGGUUUAGGAGGAAAGGGCAUGGGUUUCUGAACCCAUGGUUCUCUUUCUUUAUCGUGCUUCCUAGCAACAAAAUCUCUCUUAUCAUAACGUUGAUUCCUUGAUUGUGGGUUAUCAAGAUCAACAACAUGUUCAAUCUCUACUUCAUUGUUUUUGCUAGGUUGGGCAUCAACAUGAACAUUAUUAUUAACAUUAUCACUAGGUUCAUGUUCAUCACCUGAUUGCGUUUCAACAUCACAAAUAGAAAUAUCAUUGGGAUUCUCGGGUGUGUCUACAACAGGUUCACUAGAAGCAUGCAAAGUUCUAUCGUUUUUCUUUUUCUUCUUUUUAGAAGAACUAGGUGCUUCUAAAUUAUUUCUCUGAGAAUCUUGCUCGAUUCUCUUAGGGUGGCCUUCAGGAUACAAAGGUUCCCGAGUCAUUCUACCAGUUCUAGUAGCCACUCUAACAGCAAAGUCAUUUUUAUUAUUUUAUUCAUCAAGCACAUCAUUUUGAGCUUUAAGUACUUGCUCAGGUUGAGUAGCAACCAUAGAAGUAUAUUUGCUAAUGAGUUUGAGUUCACCUUUAACUCUAGCCAUAUCACACCGCACGCGCCCUAUCUCGAAAGCAUUAUUCUUUAACUCUCUACCAACAUAAGCAUUAAAACUUUCUUGUCUAGCCAUAAAGUCAUUAAAUUCAUCUAAGCAUGGGCUAUGAAAUUUAGUAGAGGGGAUUUCAACUUUAUCAUAUCUAUAGAGAGAAUUUACCUUUGCUACCUAUGUUGGGUUAUCAAGACAAUGUGGUUCUUCGACAGGCGGUAUAUUAAGACCAUGUAUUUCUUCAAUUGGUGGUAAAUUCUUAACAUCUUCAGCUUUAAUACCUUUUUCUUUCAUUGAUUUCUUUGCCUCUUGCAUAUCUUCGGGACUGAGAAAUAAAACACCUCUCUUCUUUGGAGUGGGUUUGGGAAUAGGCUCAGGAGUUGGCUUAAUUGGUUCAGGAAUUUCCUUAGGAAUUGGCUCAGGAAGAGUCCAAUUAUUUUCAUUGGUCAACAUAUUAUUCAAUAGUAAUUCAGCUUCGUCGACUGCUCUUUCCCUGAAAACACAACCAGCAAAACUAUCCAAGUAGUCCUUGGAAGUAUCGGUUAGUCCAUUAUAAGAAAUAUCAAGUAUUUCAUUUUUCCUAAGAGGAUGAUCAGGCAAAUCAUUAAGUAAUCGGAGAAGCCUCCCCCAAGCUUGUGGGAGACUCUCUUUUUUGACUUGCACAAAAUUAUAUAUUUCCCGCAAGGCAGCUUGUUUCUUACGAGCAGGGAAAUAUUUAGCAGAGAAGUAAUAAAUCAUAUCCUAGGGACUACGCACACAACCAGGAGCAAGAGAAUUAUACCAAGUCUUAGCAUCACCCUUUAACGAGAACGGAAAUAUCUUAAGGAUAUAAAAAUAGCGAGAUUUAUCAUCAUGAGUAAAUAGGGUAGCUAUAUCAUUCAACUUGGUAAGAUGUGCCACAACUGUUUCAGAUUCAAGGCCAUAAAAAGUAUCAGUCAACCAAAGUAAUAAUCUCAGGAUCAACAUUGAAUUCAUAAUCCUUAUCAGUAACAUAGAUAGGUGAAGUAGCAAAAGCAGGGUCAGGUUUCAUUCUAGCAUUAAGAGACUGUUGCUUCCAUUUAGCUAAUAAUUUCUUAAGAUCAUAUCAAUCACUGCAAGCAAAGAUAGAUCUAGCAGCGUCUUCAUUCAUAACAUUACCCUCAGGAACAACAGGUAAUUUAUAAUCAUUGGGAGAAUUUUCAUCAUCAGUAUCAUCAAUAAUAGUAUCUUCAACAAUUUCAUUCCCCCUAACCCUAGCAAGUUGUUCAUCAAGAAAUUCACCUAAUGGCAAAGUAGUAUCACGCACAUAAGUAGUUUCAUCAUAAGUAUCAUGCAUAGCUGAAGUGGCAUCAUCAAUAACAUGCGACAUAUCAGAGUUCAUAGCAGUAGCAGGUUUAGGUGUCGCAAGCUUAAUCAAAACAGAAGGAGAAUCUAGUGCACAGCUAGAUGGAAGUUCCUUACCUCCCCUCGUAGUUGAGGGAAAAAUCGUGGUCCUGUUGUCUUUCAAGUUCUUCGUAGUGAUCAACAGAUAUAAAUCCCAAGUGACUCAGAAUAUAGAGCUAUGCUCCCCGGCAACGGCGCCAGAAAUUAGUCUUGAUAACCCACAAGUGUAGGGGAUCGCAACAGCUUUCGAGGGUAAAGUAUUCAACCCAAAUUUAUUGAUUCGACACAAGGGGAGCCAAAGAAUAUUCUUGAGUAUUAGCAGUUGAGUUGUCAAUUCAACCACACCUGGAUAACUUAGUAUCUGCAGCAAAGUAUUUAGUAGCAAAGUAAUAUGAUAAUAAAGGUAACGAUAGCAAAAGUAAUAUUUUUGGGUUUUGUAGUGAUUGUAACAAUAGCAACGGAAAAUUAAUAAGCGAAGAACAAUAUGUGAAAAGCUCAUAGGCAAUGGAUCAGUGAUGGAUAAUUAUGUCGAAUGCGAUUCCUUAGGGAAAAGAACUAGCUCCAAUUCAUUAGUGUAGGCAUGUAUUCUGAAUAUAGUCAUACAUGCUUAUGGAAAAGAACUUGCAUGACAUCUUUUGUCCUACCCUCCCAUGGCAGCGGGGUCCUAGUGGAAACUAAGGGACAUUAAGGCCUCCUUUUAAUAGAGAACCGGAACAAAGCAUUAGCACAUAGUGAAUACAUGAACUCCUGAAACUAUGGUCAUCACCGAGAAAUAUCCCGAUUAUUGUCACUUCGGGGUUGUCGGAUCAUAACACAUAAUAGGUGACUAUAGACUUGCAAGAUAGGAUCAAGAACACACAUAUAUUCAUGAAAACAUAAUAGGUUCAUAUCUGAAAUCAUGGCACUCGGGCCCUAGUGACAAGCAUUAAGCAUAACAAAGUCAUAGCAACAUCAAUCUCAGAACAUAGUGGAUACUAGGGAUCAAACCCUAACAAAACUAACUUGAUUACAUGGUAAAUCUCAUCCAACCCAUCACCGUCCAGCAAGCCUACGAUGGAAUUACUCAUGCACGGCGGUGAGCAUCAUGAAAUUAGUGAUGGAGGAUGGUUGAUGAUGACGACGGCGAAGAAUCCCCCUCUCCGGAGCCCCGAACGGACUCCAGAUCAGCCCUCCCGAGAGAGAUUAGGGCUUGGCGGCGGCUCUGUAUCGUAAAACGCGAUGAAACUUUCUCUCUGAUUUUUUUCUCCCUGAACGUGAAUAUAUGGAGUUGGAGUUGAGGUCGAUGGAGGUCCAGGGGCCCACGAGACAAGGGGGCGCGCCCAGGGAGAGGGGGCGCGCCCCCCACCCUCGUGGACAGGGUGUGGGCCCCUGGUCUUGAUUAUUUCGCCAGUACUUUUUAUAUUUUCCAAAAAGUGCCUCCGUGGAUUUUCAGGACAUUCCGAGAACUUUUCUUUUCUACACAUAAAACAACAUCAUGGCAGUUCUGCUGAAAACAACGUCAGUCCGAGUUAGUUUCAUUCAAAUCAAGCACGUUAGAGUCCAAAACAAGGGCAAAAGUGUUUGUGAAAGUAGAUAUGUUGGAGACGUAUCAGGGAAUAAGGUGAAGACGCGGUCUUUUGAGUGAAAUCUCAGUCUCCCUUACUAGACGUACAGUUGUCACAGCAACUGGAACUGGUCCAACAAACCCCUUGUCUUCUGCGAGCAAUUGGUUCUAUCCUACCUCUCUCACCUUACUUACAGUUUGUCUUCGUGAAGUCUUUUCCUGCUUUACUUAUCUGUUUGACUUCACUGUGUGAAGACUGUUGUCUGUUUGGCUUCAUACUAUCUUCCAUCCUGAUCCAACCUACCUAGCUGCUUAUAGUCUUCGUGCUGUCACUUCAUUGCUUACUUGACUAUGGCUUGUCUAGUGUAGUCUACCUUCUGGUGCAUGUCAAUUGGGUCAUUUUUAUCGUUUGUCUUCGAAACACCCAUGUUUUGAAGACUUUCAUAAAAAUCGCCUAUUCACCCCCCUCUAGUCGAAUACUAGCACUUUCAGUUGGUAUCGGAGCGAUGUGCUCCCUUGUUCUGUGUGAUUCGGUUUAACCACCUGGAGUUUAGCUAUGUCGACUGCAGGGAUAAUCAAGCUCUCCGCUGCGUGCCUUGUUUUCGAUGGCACUGAUUACCCCUACUGGAAGAAUAGGAUGUGCAUGCAUCUUGAAGCCAUUGAUGUCGAUCUCUGGUAUGUCGUCAAGAACGGCGUUCCCAAGACUGGUGAAGGUGUCACGCCUGCUGAUGUCAAGAAGUUCGUGCAACUGGACUCAACUGGCAAGAACAUCAUCUAUGGUCAUCCGACCAAGGGACAGUAUGGUCGUAUGAGUGCUCUGGAAACAUCGAAGCUAGUCUGGGACUGGCUCUCCAAGGUCAAUUAAGGCGUCUCAUCCCAGAGAGACUCAAGGAUUAGUGUUCUUUGCAAUCUCUUCAACCGCUUCAAGAGACACAAUAAUGAGAAUGUCCAACUCACAUUUGAUCGCCUCACUGAUAUCACAAAUGAGCUUCAUGCUCUCGGUGCCACUGAGAUCACCAAGCAUGAAAUUGUCAAGACACUCCUGAGAUCACUUGACAGCUCGUUUGAUACCCUAGCCCUGAUGAUUCAAGAAUGCCACGACUUCAAGACACUCGAUCCAUCUGACAUACUUGAGAGGCUCAACACACAUGAGUUUCAGUUAUUUGAGAAAAGAGACAUCUAUGGUCCCAACUAUGGCCGAACUCGCGCUUUGAAGCCAAAGGUUGUUUCCUAAUCUGAAGAAGAAUUUGAUUGCAGUUCUGGUGAUCUUGAAGACAUUGGAAAGGAUCUUUAUAUGCUUGUGAAGAAGUUCCAGAAGUUCACGAAGAAGAAAGACUUCAGAAUGUCUUCAAGAUCUAGCUCAAGGAAUGAUGAAGCUUCCUCUCAUGAUCACAAGAAGAGAACCUGUCACAAGCGCAAGAAACCUGGUCACUACAUCUCUGAGUGUCCACAGUGGGACAACGAGACAAAGAAGAAGAAGAAGAGCAAGGACUAUGAUUCUGAUGACAAGAAGAAGAAGAAAUCCUCAAAGUCUUCUUCCAAGUCUUCGUCGAAGUCUUCUUCACACAAGAAGAGCUCAUCUAGCAAGGCUCGUGCUUUUGUUGGCAAGGAGAUGGAUUCAGAGGAGGAGUCUGCAUCUUAGGAGGCAGAGGUGGAAGCCGAGGAAGAAUCUGAUUCUGGAGUGGCAAGCCUUGAAGGAAAUAUGCCCUAGAGGCAAUAAUAAAGUUAUUAUUUAUUUCCUCAUAUCAUGAUAAAUGUUUAUUAUUCAUGCUAGAAUUGUAUUAACCGGAAACAUGAUACAUGUGUGAAUACAUAGACAAACAUAUAGUCACUAGUAUGCCUCUACUUGACUAGCUCAUUAAUCAAAGAUGGUUAUGUUUCCUGACCAUAGACAUGUGUUGUCAUUUGAUUAAUGGGAUCACAUCAUUAGGAGAAUGAUGUGAUUGACAUGACCCAUCCCGUUAGCUUAGCACUUGAUCGUUUAGUAUUCUGCUAUUGCUUUCUUCAUGACUUAUACAUGUUCCUGUAACUAUGAGAAUUAUGCAACUCCCGUUUACCGGAGGAACACUUUGGGUACUACCAAACGUCACAACGUAACUGGGUGAUUAUAAAGGAGUACUACAGGUGUCUCCAAAGGUACAUGUUGAGUUGGCGUAUUUCGAGAUUAGGUUUUGUCACUCCGAUUGUCGGAGAGGUAUCUCUGGGCCCUCUAGGUAAUACUCAUCACUUAAGCCUUGCAAGCAUUAUAACUAAUGAGUUAGUUAUGAGAUGACGUAUUACAGAACGAGUAAAGAGACUUGCCGGUAACGAGAUUGAACUAGGUAUUGGAUACCGACGAUCAAAUCUCGGGCAAGUAACAUACCGAUGACAAAGGGAACAACGUAUGUUGUUAUGCGGUUUGAGCGAUAAAGAUCUUCGUAGAAUAUGUAGGAACCAAUAUGGGCAUCCAGGUCCCGCUAUUGGUUAUUGACCGAGAAUGGUUUUAGGUCAUGUCUACAUAGUUCUCGAACCCGUAGGGUCCGCACGCUUAACGUUUCGAUGACAGUUUUAUUAUGAGUUUAUAAGUUUUGAUGUACCGAAGUUUGUUCGGAGUCCCGGAUGUGAUCACGGACAUGACGAGGAGUCUCGAAAUGGUCGAGACAUAAAGAUUGAUAUAUUGGAAGCCUAUAUUUGGACAUCGGAAUGGUUCCGGGUGAAAUCGGGAUUUUACCGGAACACCGGGGGUUACCGGAACCCUCCCGGGGGAUAUUGGGCCAUAGUGGGCCAAGAGGGAGAAGAGGAGGGCUGGCCAGGGCAGGCCGCGCGCCCCCUCCCCCUAGUCCGAAUAGGACAAGGAAGGGGGGGGGGGGCGGCGCCCCCCUUUCCUCUUUCCCCUCCCCCCCUUUCCUUCUCCACCAAGGCAAGAGGGGGGAGUCCUACUCCUGGUGGGAGUAGGACUCCUCUAGGCGCACCCCUAGGGGGCCGGCCGCACCUCCCCCCUCCCUCCUUUAUAUACGGGGGCAGGGGGCACCCCAUAGACACACAAGUUGAUCUUCGUGAUCGUUCCUUAGCCGUGUGCGGUGCCCCCCUCCACCAUAUUCCACCUCGGUCAUAUCGUCGCGGAGUUUAGGCGAAGCCCUGCGCCGGUAGAGCAUCAUCAUCGUCACCACGCCGUCCUGCUGACGGAACUCAUCCCCGACACUUUGCUGGAUCAGAGUCCGGGGAUCGUCAUCGAGCUGAACGUGUGCUGAACUCGGAGGUGCCGUACAUUCGGUACUUGGAUCGGUCAGAUCAUGAAGACAUACGACUACAUCAACCGCGUUGUCAUAACGCUUCCGCUUACGGUCUACGAGGGUACAUGGACAAUACUCUCCCCUCUCAUUGCUAUGCCAUCACCAUGAUCUUGCGUGUGCGUAGGAAAUUUUAUGAAAUUACUACGUUCUCCAACAGUGGCAUCCGAGCCUAGGUUUUAUGCGUUGAUGUUAUAUACACGAGUAGAACACAAGUGAGUUGCGGGCGAUACAAGUCAUACUGCUUACCAGCAUGUCAUACUUUGGUUCGGCAGUAUUGUGAGAUGAAGUGGACCGGACCGACAUUACGCGUACGCUUACGCGAGACUGUUUUCACCGUUACGAGCACUCGUGCUUAAAGGUGACUGGCGGGUGUCUGUCUCUCUCACUUUAGCUGAAUCGAGUGUGGCUACGCCCGGUCCUUGCGAAGGUUAAAACAGCACCAACUUGAUGAACUAUCGUUGUGAUUUUUGAUGCGUAGGUAAGAACGGUUCUUGCUAAGCCCGUAGCAGCCACGUAAAAUUUGCAACAACAAAGUAGAGGACGUCUAACUUGUUUUUGCAGGGCAUGUUGUGAUGUGAUAUGGUCAAGACGUGAUGCUAUAUUUUAUUGUAUGAGAUGAUCAUGUUUUGUAACCGAAGUUAUCGGCAACUGGCAGAGGCCAUAUGGUUGUCGCUUUAUUGUAUGAAAUGCAAAUAGUCGUAAUUGCUUUACUUUAUCACUAAGCGGUAGCGAUAGUCGUAGAAGCAAUAGAUGGCGUAACGACAACGAUGCUAUGAUGGAGAUCAAGGUGUCGCGCCGGUGACGAUGGUGAUCAUGACGGUGCUUCGAAGAUGGAGAUCACAAGCACAAGAUGAUGAUGGCCAUAUCAUAUCACUUAUAUUGAUUGCAUGUGAUGUUUAUCCUUUAUGCAUCUUAUCUCGCUUUGAUUGACGGUAGCAUUUUAAGAUGAUCUCUCACAAAUUAUCAAGAAGUGUUCUCCCUGAGUAUGCACCGUUGCGAAAGUUCUUCGUGCUGAGACACCACGUGAUGAUCGGGUGUGACAGGCUCUACGUUCAAAUACAACGGGUGCAAAACAGUUGCACACGCGGAAUACUCAGGUUAUACUUGACGAGCCUAGCAUAUACAGAUAUGGCCUCGGAACACGGAGACCGAAAGGUCAAGCGUGAAUCAUAUAGUAGAUAUGAUCAACAUAGAGAUGUUCACCAUUGAAACUACUCCAUCUCACGUGAUGAUCGGACAUGGUUUAGUUGAUUUGGAUCAUGUGAUCACUUAGAUGACUAGAGAGAUGUCUGUCUAAGUGGGAGUUCUAAAGUAAUAUGAUUAAUUGAACUUAAAUUUAUCAUGAACUUAGUACCUGAUAGUAUCUUGCUUGUCUAUGUUUGUUUGUAGAUAGAUGGCUCGUGCUGUUGUUCCGUUCAAUUUUAAUGCGUUCCUUGAGAAAGAAAGUUGAAAGAUGAUGGUAGCAAUUACACGGAGUGGGUCCGUAACCUGAGGAUUAUCCUCAUUGCUGCACAGAAAAAUUACGUCCUAGAAGCACCGCUGGGUGCCAGGCCUGCUGCUGAUGCAACUGACGACGUUAAGAACGUCUGGCAGAGCAAAGCUGAUGACUACUCUAUAGUUCAGUGUGCCAUGCUUUACGGCUUAGAACCAGGCCUUCAACGAUGUUUUGAACGUCAUGGAGCAUAUGAGAUGUUCCAGGAGUUGAAGUUAAUAUUUCAAGCUAAUGCCCGGCUUGAGAGAUAUGAAGUCUCCAAUAAGUUCUAUAGCUGCAAGAUGGAGGAGAAUAGUUCUGUCAGUGAACACAUACUCAAAAUGUCUGGGUAUAAUAAUCACUUGAUUCAACUCGGAGUUAAUCUUCCUGAUGAUAGUGUCAUUGACAGAAUUCUCCAAUCACUGCCACCAAGCUACAAGAGCUUCGUGAUGAACUAUAAUAUGCAAGGGAUGAACAAGACUAUUCCUAAGCUCUUUGCAAUGCUGAAAGCCGCGGAGGUAGAAAUCAAGAAGGAGCAUCAAGUGUUGAUGGUUAACAAGACCACUAGUUUCAAGAAGAAGGGCAAAGGGAAGAAGAAGGGGAACUUCAAAAAGAACGGCAAGCAAGUUGCUGCUCAAGAGAAGAAACCCAAGUCUGGACCUAAGCCUGAAACUGAGUGCUUCUACUGCAAGCAGACUGGACACUGGAAGCGGAACUGCCCCAAGUAUUUGGCGGAUAAGAAGGAUGGCAAAGUGAACAAAGGUAUAUGUGAUAUACAAGUUAUUGAUGUGUACCUUACUAAUGCUCGCAGUAGCACCUGGGUAUUUGAUACUGGUUCUGUUGCUAAUAUUUGCAACUCGAAACAGGGACUAUGGAUUAAGCGAAGAUUAGCUAAGGACGAGGUGACGAUGUGCGUGGGAAAUGGUUCCAAAGUCGAUGUGAUCGCGGUCGGCACGCUACCUCUACAUCUACCAUCGGGAUUAGUUUUAGACCUAAAUAAUUGUUAUUUGGUGCCAGCGUUGAGCAUGAACAUUAUAUCUGGAUCUUGUUUGAUGCGAGACGGUUAUUCAUUUAAAUCAGAGAAUAAUGGUUGUUCUAUUUAUAUGAGUAAUAUCUUUUAUGGUCAUGCACCCUUGAAGAGUGGUCUAUUUUUAUUAAAUCUCGAUAGUAGUGAUACACAUAUUCAUAGUGUUGAAACCAAAAGAUGCAGAAUUGAUAAUGAUAGUGCAACUUAUUUGUGGCACUGCCGUUUAGGUCAUAUCGGUGUAAAGCGCAUGAAGAAACUCCAUACUGAUGGGCUUUUGGAAUCACUUGAUUAUGAAUCACUUGGUACUUGCGAACCGUGCCUUAUGGGCAAGAUGACUAAAACGCCAUUCUCCGGUACUAUGGAGAGAGCAACAGAUUUGUUGGAAAUCAUACAUACAGAUGUAUGUAGUCCAAUGAAUGUUGAGGCUCGUGGGGGAUAUCGUUAUUUUCUCACCUUCACAGAUGAUUUAAGCAGAUAUGGGUAUAUCUACUUUAUGAAACACAAGUCUGAGACAUUUGAAAAGUUCAAAGAAUUUCAGAGUGAAGUGGAAAAUCAUCGUAACAAGAAAAUAAAGUUUCUACGAUCUGAUCGUGGAGGAGAAUAUUUGAGUUACGAGUUUGGUCUACACUUGAAACAAUGCGGGAUAGUCUCGCAACUCACGCCACCUGGAACACCACAACGAAAUGGUGUGUCCGAACGUUGUAAUCGUACUUUACUUGAUAUGGUACGAUCUAUGAUGUCUCUUACUGAUCUACCGCUAUCGUUUUGGGGUUAUGCUGUAGAGACGGCCGCAUUCACGUUAAAUAGGGCACCAUCAAAAUCCGUUGAGAGGACGCCUUAUGAACUGUGGUUUGGCAAGAAACCAAAGUUGUCGUUUCUCAAAGUUUGGGGCUGCAAUGCUUAUGUGAAGAAACUUCAACCAGAUAAGCUCGAACCCAAAUCGGAGAAAUGUGUCUUCAUAGGAUACCCAAAGGAGACUAUUGGGUACACCUUCUAUCACAGAUCUGAGGGCAAGAUUUUCGUUGCUAAAUUCGGAUCCUUUCUAGAGAAGGAGUUUCUCUCGAAAGAAGUGAGUGGGAGGAAAGUAGAACUUGAUGAGAUAACUGUAUCUACUCCCUUAUUGGAAAGUAGUUCAUCACAAGAACCGGUUCCUGUGACAACUACACCAAUCAGUGAGGAAGCUAAUGAUAUUGAUCAUGAAACUUCAGAACAAGUUUCUACAGAACCUCGUAGGUCUACCAGAGUAAGAUCCACACCAGAGAGGUAUGGUAAUCCUAUUCUGGAAGUCAUGUUACUUGACCAUGAUGAACCUACGAACUAUGAGGAAGCGAUGAUGAGCCCAGAUUCCGCAAAAUGGCUAGAGGCCAUGAAAAUCUGAGAUGGGAUCCAUGUAUGAAAACAAAGUAUCGACUUUGGUUGACUUGCCCGAUGAUCGGCAAGCCAUUGAGAAUAAAUGGAUUUUUAAGAAGAAUACUGACGCUGAUGGUAAUGUAACUGUCUAUAAAGCUCGACUUGUUGCGAAAGGUUUUCGACAAGUUCAAGGGGUUGACUACGAUGAGACUUUCUCACCCGUAGCGAUGCUUAAGUCUGUCCGAAUCAUGUUAGCCAUUGCUGCAUUUCAUGAUUAUGAAAUUUGGCAAAUGGAUGUCAAGACUGCAUUCUUGAAUGGAUUUCUAGAAGAAGAGUUGUAUAUGAUGCAGCCGGAAGGUUUUGUUGAUCCAAAAGGUGCUAACAAAGUGUGCAAGCUCCAGCGUUCCAUUUAUGGACUGGUGCAAGCAUCUCGGAGUUGGAAUAAACGCUUUGAUAGUGUGAUCAAAGCAUAUGGUUUUAUACAGACUUUUGGAGAAGCCUGUAUUUACAAGAAAGUGAGUGGGAGCUCUGUAGCAUUUCUAGUUUUAUAUGUAGAUGACAUAUUGUUAAUUGGAAAUGAUAUGGAAUUUUUGGAUAGCAUAAGGGGAUACUUGAAUAAAAGUUUUUCAAUGAAAGACCUCGGUGAAGCUGCUUAUAUAUUGGGCAUCAAGAUCUAUAGAGAUAGAUCAAGACGCUUAAUAGGACUUUCACAAAGCACAUACCUUGACAAAAUUUUGAAAAAGUUCAAAAUGGAUCAGGCAAAGAAAGGAUUCUUGCCUGUGCUACAAGGUGUGAAGUUGAGUCAAACUCAAUGCCCGACCACAGCAGAAGAUAGAGAGAAAAUGAAAGAUGUUCCCUAUGCUUCAGCCAUAGGCUCUAUCAUGUAUGCAAUGCUGUGUACCAGACCUGACGCAUGCUUAGCAAUAAGCUUGGCAGGAAGGUACCAAAGUAAUCCAGGAGUGGAUCACUGGACAGCAGUCAAGAACAUCCUGAAAUACCUGAAAAGGACUAAGGAUAUGUUUCUCGUAUAUGGAGGUGACAAAGAGCUAGUCGUAAAAGGUUACGUCGAUGCAAGCUUUGACACUGAUCCGGACGAUUCUAAAUCUCAAACCGGAUACGUGUUUAUAUUAAACGGUGGAGCUGUAAGUUGGUGCAGUUCUAAACAAAGCGUCGUGGCGGGAUCUACAUGUGAAGCAGAGUACAUAGCUGCUUCUGAAGCAGCAAAUGAAGGUGUCUGGAUGAAGGAGUUCAUUUCCGAUCUAGGUGUCAUACCUAGUGCAUCGGGACCAAUGAAGAUCUUUUGUGACAAUACUGGUGCAAUUGCCUUGGCAAAGGAAUCCAGAUUUCACAAGAGGACCAAGCACAUCAAGAGACGCUUCAAUUCCAUUCGGGACCAAGUCCAAGUGGGAGACAUAGAGAUUUGCAAGAUACAUACGGAUCUGAAUGUUGCAGACCCGUUGACUAAGCCUCUCUCACGAGCAAAGCAUGAUCAGCACCAAGACUCCAUGGGUGUUAGAAUCAUUACUAUGUAAUCUAGAUUAUUGACUCUAGUGCAAGUGGGAGACUGAAGGAAAUAUGCCCUAGAGGCAAUAAUAAAGUUAUUAUUUAUUUCGUCAUAUCAUGAUAAAUGUUUAUUAUUCAUGCUAGAAUUGUAUUAACCAGAAACAUGAUACAUGUGUGAAUACAUAGACAAACAUAUAGUCACUAGUAUGCCUCUACUUGACUAGCUCAUUAAUCAAAGAUGGUUAUGUUUCCUGACCAUAGACAUGUGUUGUCAUUUGAUUAAUGGGAUCACAUCAUUAGGAGAAUGAUGUGAUUGACAUGACCCAUCCCGUUAGCUUAGCACUUGAUCGUUUAGUAUUCUGCUAUUGCUUUCUUCAUGACUUAUACAUGUUCCUGUUGUUGGGGAACGUAGUAAUUUCAAAAAUUUCCUGCGCACACGCAAGAUCAUGGUGAUGGCAUAGCAACGAGAGGCGAGAGUGUAUGUCCACGUACCCUCGUAGACCGUAAGCGGAAGCGUUAGCACAACGCGGUUGAUGUAGUCGUACGUCUUCAUGAUCCGACCGAUCCAAGCACCGAACGUACGGGGCCUCCGAGUUCAGCACACGUUCAGCUCGAUGACGUCCCUUGAACUCCGAUCUAGCCGAGUGUCGAGGGAGAGUUCCGUCAGCACGACGGCGUGGUGACGAUCUUGAUGUUCUACAGGCGCAGGGCUUCGCCUAAGCUUCGCGGUGAUAUGACCGAGGUGGAAUAUGGUGGAAGGGGGCACCGCACACGGCUAAGGAACGAUCCAAAGAUCAACUGUGUGUUCAUGGGGUGCCCCCUGCCCCCGUAUAUAAAGGAGGGAGGGAGGAGGAGGCCGGCCCUAUGAGGGGCGCGCCAUGGGGAGUCCUACUCCCACCGGGAGUAGGAUUCCCCCUUUCCUAGUCCAACUAGGGGUCCUUCCAUGUAGUAGGAGUAGGAGACUAGGAAGGGGAAGAGAGAAGGAAAGGAAGGAGGGGGUGCGGCCCCUCCCCCUAGUCCAAUUCGGACUAGGCCUUGGGGGGGCGCGCGGCCUGCCCUAGGCAGCCCCUCUCUCUUUCCCGCAGGGCCCAAUAAGGCCCAAUACUUCUCCCCGGCGAAUUCUCGUAACUCUCCGGUACUCCGAAAAAUACCCGAAUCACUCGGAACCUUUCCGAACUCCGAAUAUAGUCGUCCAAUAUAUCGAUCAUUACGUCUCGACCAUUUCGAGACUCCUCGUCAUGUCCCCGAUCUCAUCCGGGACUCCAAACUCCUUCGGUACAUCAAAACUCAUAAACUCAUAAUAUAACUAUCAUCGAAACCUUAAGCGUGCGGACCCUACGGGUUCGAGAACUAUGUAGACAUGACCUAGAACUAUUCUUGGUCAAUAACCAAUAGCGGGACCUGGAUGCCCAUAUUGGCUCCUACAUAUUCUACGAAGAUCUUUAUCGGUCAAACCGCAUAACAACAUACGUUGUUCCCUUUGUCAUCGGAAUGUUACUUGCCCGAGAUUCGAUCGUCGGUAUCCAAUACCUAGUUCAAUCUCGUCACCGGCAAGUCUCUUUACUCGUUCUGUAAUGCAUCAUCCCGUAACCAACUCAUUGGUCACAUUGCUUGCAAGGCUUAUAAUGAUGUGCAUUACCGAGAGGGCCCAGAGAUACCUCUCCGACAAUCGGAGUGACAAAACCUAAUCUCGAAUUAUGCCAACCCAACAUGUACCUUCGGAGACACCUGUAGAGCACCUUUAUAAUCACCCAGUUACGUUGUGACGUUUGGUAGCACACAAAGUGUUCCUCCGGUAAACGGGAGUUGCAUAAUCUCAUAGUCAUAGGAACAUGUAUAAGUCAUGAAGAAAGCAAUAGCAACAUACUAAACGAUCGGUUGCUAAGCUAACAGAAUGGGUCAUGUCAAUCAGAUCAUUCAACUAAUGAUGUGAUCUUGUUAAUCAAAUAACAACUCUUUGUUCAUGGUUAGGAAACAUAACCAUCUUUGAUUAACGAGCUAGUCAAGUAGAGGCAUACUAGUGAAACUCUGUUUGUCUAUAUAUUCACACAUGUAUUAUGUUUCCGGUUAAUACAAUUCUAGCAUGAAUAAUAAACAUUUAUCAUGAUAUAAGGAAAUAAAUAAUAACUUUAUUAUUGCCUCUAGGGCAUAUUUCCUUCAGUCUCCCACUUGCACUAGAGUCAAUAAUCUAGAUCACAUCACCAUGUGAUUAACAUCGAUAGUUCACAUCAUCAUAUGAUUAACACCCAUAGUUCACAUCGCCAUGUGACCAACACCCAAAGGGUUUACUAGAUUCAGUAAUCUAGUUCACAUCGCUAUGUGAUUAACACCCAAAGAGUACUAAGGUGUGAUCAUGUUUUGCUUGUGAGAGAAUCUUAGUCAACAGGUCUUUCACAUUCAGAGCCGUAUGUAUUUUGCAAAUAUUCUAUGUCCACAAUGCUCUGCAUGGAGCUACUCUAGCUAAUUGCUCCCACUUUCAAUAUGUAUCUAGAUUGAGACUUAGAGUCAUCUAGAUCAGUGUAAAAGUUUGCACCGAUGUAACUUUUACAACGAACUCUUUUAUCACCUCCAUAAUCGAGAAACAUCUCCUUAGUCCUUACUAAGGAUAUUCUUGACCGCUGUCCAGUGAUCUACUAUUAGAUCAAAAUUGUAUUCCCUUGCCAAAUUCAGAGCAAGGUAUACAAUAGGUCUGGUACAUAGCAUAGCAUACUUUAUAGAACCUAUGACUGAGGCAUAGGGAAUGACUUUUCAUUCUCUUUCUAUUUUCUGCUGUGGUCGGGAUUUGAGUCUUACCUUUGCAACACAUGCAAGAACUCUUUCUUUGACUGUUCCAUUUUGAACUAUUUCAAAAUCUUGCCAAGGUAUGUACUCAUUGAAAAUCUUAUCAAGCGUCUUGAUCUAUCUCAAUAGAUCUUGAUGCUCAAUAUGUAAGUAGCUUUUACUAAGGUCUUUUCUUUUUAAAGAACUCCUUUAAAACACUCCUUUAUGCUUUGCAGAAAAAUUCUACAUCAUUUCUGAUCAACAAUAUGUCACUCACAUAUACUAAUCAGAAAGGCUGUAGUGCUCCCACUCACUUUAUUGUAAAUACAGGCUUCAUCGUAAGUCCGUAUAAAACUAUAUGCAUUGAUCAACUUAUCAAAGCGUAUAUUACAACUCCGAGAUUCUUGCACCAGUCCAUAGUUGGAUCGUUGGAGCUUGCAUAUUUAGUUAACACCUUUAGGAUCGGCAAAACCUUCUGGUUGCAUCACAUACAACUCUUCUUUAAUAACUCCAUUAAGGAAUGCAGUUUUGUUUAUCCAUUUGCCAAAUUUCAUAAAAUGCGGCAAUUGCUAACACGAUUCGAACAGACUUAAGCAUAGAUACGAGUGAGAAACUAUCAUCGUAGUCAACACUUUGAACUUGUCGAAAACCUUUUGCGACAAUUCUAGCUUUGUAGAUAGUAACAAUACUAUCAGCGUCCGUCUUCCUCUUGAAGAUCCAUUUAUUUAACAUGGCUUGCUGAUCAUCGAGCAAGUCAAUCAAAGUACAUACUUUGUUCUCAUACAUGGAUCAUAUCUCAGAUUUUAUGGCCUCAAGCCAUUUCGCGGAAUCUGGGCUCAUCAUCGCUUCCUCAUAGUUCGUAGGUUCAUCAUGGUCUAGUUACAUGACUUCCAGAACAGGAUUACCGUACCACUCUGGAGUGGAUCUCACUCUAGUUUACCUACGAGAUUCGGUAGUAACUUGAUCUGAAGUUACAUGAUCAUCAUCAUUAGCUUCCUCACUAAUUGGUGUAGUAGUCACAGGAAUAGAUUUCUGUGAUGAACUACUUUCCAAUAAGGGAGAAGGUACAAUUACCUCAUCAAGUUCUACUUUCCUCCCACUCACUUCUUUCGAGAGAAACUCCAUCUCUAGAAAGGAUCCAUUUAUUAGCAACGAAUGUUUUGCCUUCGGAUCUGUGAUAGAAGGUGUACCCAAUAAUUUACUUUGGGUAUUCUAUGAAGACGCACUUCUCCGAUUUGGGUUUGAGCUUAUAAGGAUGAAACUUUUUCACAUAAGCAUCGCAACCCCAAUCUUUAAGAAACGACAACUUUGGUUUCUUGCUAAACCACAGUUCAUAUAGUGACGUCUCAACGGAUUUAGAUGGUGCCCUAUUUGACGUGAAUGCAGCUGUCUCUAAUGCAUGAUCCCAAAACGAUAUUGGUAAAUCGGUAAGAAACAUCAUAGAUUGUACUAUAUCCAAUAAAGUACGGUUAUGACGUUUGGACACACCAUAACGUUGUGGUGUUCCAGGUGGCGUGAGCUAUGAAACUAUUUCACAUUGUUUUAAUUGAAGACCAAACUCGUAACUCAAAUAUUCAUCUCCAUGAUCAGAUCGCAGAAACUUUAUUUUCUUGUUACGAUGAUUUUCCACUUCACUCUGAAAUUCUUUGAACCUUUCAACUAUUUCAGACUUAUGUUUCAUCAAGUGGAUAUACCCAUAUCUGCUCAAAUCAUCUGUGAAGGUCAGAAAAUAACGAUACUUGCCACGAGGCGUCAUACUCAUUGGUCUGCAUACAUCAGUAUCUAUUAUUUUCAAUAAGUCAGUAGCUCGUUCCAUUGUUCCGAAGAACGGAGUUUUAGUCAUCUUGCCCAAAAGGCACGGUUCGCAAGCAUCAAAUGAUUCAUAAUCAAGUGAUUUCGAAAAUCCAUCUUUAUGGAGUUUCUUCAUGCGCUUUACACCGAUAUGACCUAAACGGCAGUGCCACAAAUAAGUUGCACUAUCAUUAUUAACUUUGCAUCUUUUGGCUUCAAUAUUACGAAUAUGUGUAUCACACGAUCGAGAUCCAACAAACCAUUUUCAUUGGGUGUAUGACCAUAGAAGGUUUUAUUCAUGUAAACAGAACAACAAUUAUUCUCUAACUUACAUGAAUAACCGUAUUGCAAUAAACAUGAUCAAAUCAUAUUCAUGCUCAACGCAAACACCAAAUAACAAUUAUUUAGGUUUAACACUAAUCCCGAAAGUAUAGGGAGUGUGCGAUGAUGAUCAUAUCAAUCUCGGAACUAUUUCCAACACACAUCGUCACUUCACCCUUUAACUAGUCUCUGUUUAUUCUGCAACUCCCGUUUCGAGUUACUAAUCUUAGCAACUGAACUAGUAUCAAAUACUGAGGGGUUGCUAUAAACACUAGUAAAGUACACAUCAAUAACAUGCAUAUCAAAUAUACUUAUGUUCACUUUGCCAUCCUUCUUAUCCGCCAAUCACUUGGGGUAGUACCUUUUCCAGUGACCAGUCUCUUUGCAGUAGAAGCACUUAGUCUCAGGCUUAGGACCAGACUUGGGUUUCUUCACUUGAGCAGCAACUUGCUUGCCGUUCUUCUUGAAGUUCCCCUUCUUUUCCCUUUGCCUUUUUCUUGAAACUAGUGAUCUUGUUAACCAUCAACACUUGAUGCUCUUUUCUUGAUUUCUACCUUCGCCGGUCUCAACAUCGCGAAGAGCUCAGGAAUAACUUUCGUCAUCCCUUGCAUAUUAUAGUUCAUCACGAAGUUCUAUUAACUUAGUGAUGGUGACUAGAGAAUUCUGUCAAUCACUAUCUUAUCUGGAAGAUUAACUCCCACUUGAUUCAAGCGAUUGAAGUACCCAGACAAUCUGAGCACAUGCUCACUAGUUGAGCGAUUCUCCUCCAUCUUUUAGCUAUAGAAUUUGUUGGAGACUUCAUAUCUCUCAACUCGGGUAUUUGCUUGAAAUAUUAACUUCAACUCCUGGAACAUCUUAUAUGGUCCAUGACGUUCAAAAACGUCUUUGAAGUCCCGAUUCUAAGCCGUUAAGCAUGGUGCACUAAACUAUCAAGUAGUCAUCAUAUUGAGCUUAGCUAAACGUUCAUAACGUCUGCAUCUGCUCCUGCAAUAGGUCUGUCACCUAGCGCUGCAUUAAGGACAUAAUUCUUCUAUGCAGCAAUGAGGAUAAACCUCAGUUCACGGAUCCAAUCGGCAUCAUUGCUACUAACAUUUUCAACACAAUUUUCUCUAGGAACAUAUCAAAAUAAACAUAUGAAAGCAACAAUGCAAGCUAUUGAUCUACAACAUAAUUUGCAAAAUACUACCAGGACUAAGUUCAUGAUAAAUUUAAGUUCAAUUAAUCAUAUUACUUAAGAACUCCCACUUAGACAGACAUCUCUCUAGUCAUCUAAGUGAUCACGUGAUCCAAAUCAACUAAACCAUAACCGAUCAUCAUGUGAGGUGGAGUAGUUUUCAAUGGUGAACAUCAUUAUGUUGAUCAUAUCUACUAUAUGAUUCAUGCUCGACCUUUCGGUCUCCGUGUUCCGAGGCCAUAUCUGCAUAUGCUAGGCUCGUCAAGUUUAACCUGAGUAUUCCGCGUGUGCAAAACUGGCUUGCACCCGUUGUAGAUGGACGUAGAGCUUAUCACACCCGAUCAUCACGUGGUGUCUCGGCACGACGAACUUUGGCAACGGUGCAUACUCAGGGAUAACACUUCUUGAUAAUUAGUGAGAGAUCAUCUUAAAAUGCUACCGUCAAUCAAAGCAAGAAUAAGAUGUAUAAUAGAUAAACAUCAUAUGCAAUCAAAAUAUGUGACAUGAUAUGGCCAUGAUCAUCUUGCGCCUUUGAUCUCCAUCUCCAAAGUACUGUCAUGAUCUCUAUCGUCACUGGCACGACACCAUGAUCUUCAUCAUCUUGAUCUAUAUCAAUGUGUCAUCACAUGGUUGUCUCGCCAACUAUUGCUCUUGCAACUAUUGCUAUCACAUAGCGAUAAAGUAAAGCAAUUAUUUGGCACUUGCAUCUUAUGCAACAAAGAGACAACCAUAGAGCUUCUGCCAGUCGCCGAUAACUUCAACAAAACAUGAUCAUCUCAUACAACAACUUAUAUCUCAUCACGUCUUGACCAUAUCACAUCACAACAUGCCCUGCAAAAACAAGUUAGACGUCCUCUACUUUGUUGUUGCAAGUUUUACGUGGCUGCUACGGGCUUAAGCAAGAACCAAUCUCACCUAUGCAUCAAAACCACAACGAUAGUUUGUCAAAUAGACUCCGUUUUAACCUUCGCAAGGACCGGGCGUAGCCACACUCGGUUCAACUAAAGUUGGAGAAACUAACACCUGCCAGCCACUUGUGUGCAAAGCACGUCGGUAGAACCAGUCUCGCGUAAGCGUACGCGUAAUGUCGGCCCGGGCCGCUUCAUCCAACAAUACCGCCGAACCAAAGUAUGACAUGCUGGUAGGCAGUAUGACUUAUAUCGUCCAUAACUCACUUGUGUUCUAGUCGUGCAUAUAACAUCAACGCAUAAAACCUAGGCUCGGAUGCCACUGUUGGGGAACGUAGUAAUUUCAAAAAUUUCCUACGCACACGCAAGAUCAUGGUGAUGGCAUAGCAACGAGAGGGGAGAGUGUAUGUCCACGUACCCUCGUAGACCGUAAGCGGAAGCGUUAGCACAACGCGGUUGAUGUAGUCGUACGUCUUCACUAUCCGACCGAUCCAAGCACCGAACGUACGGGGCCUCCGAGUUCAGCACACGUUCAGCUCGAUGACGUCCCUUGAACUCCGAUCCAGCCGAGUGUCGAGGGAGAGUUCCGUCAGCACGACGGCGUGGUGACGAUCUUGAUGUUCUACCGGCACAGGGCUUCGCCUAAGCUUCGCGACGAUAUGACCGAGGUGGAAUAUGGUGGAAGGGGGCACCGCACACGGCUAAGGAACGAUCCGUAGAUCAACUUGUGUGUUCAUGGGGUGCCCCCUGCCCCCGUAUAUAAAGAAGGGAGGGAGGAGGAGGCCGGCCCUAUGAGGGGCGCGCCAUGGGGAGUCCUACUCCCACCGGGAGUAGGAUUCCCCCUUUCCUAGUCCAACUAGGGGUCCUUCCAGGUAGUAGGAGUAGGAGACUAGGAAGGGGAAGAGAGAAGGAAAGGAAGGAGGGGGUGUGGCCCCUCCCCCUAGUCCAAUUCGGACUAGGCCUUGGGGGGGCGCGCGGCCUGCCCUAGGCAGCCCCUCUCUCUUUCCCGCAGGGCCCAAUAAGGCCCAAUACUUCUCCCCAGCGAAUUCCCGUAACUCUUUGCUACUCCGAAAAAUACCCGAAUCACUCGGAACAUUUCCGAACUCCGAAUAUAGUCGUCCAAUAUAUCGAUCUUUACGUCUCGACCAUUUCGAGACUCCUCGUCAUGUCCCCGAUCUCAUCCGGGACUCCGAACUCCUUCGGUACAUCAAAACUCAUAAACUCAAAAUAUAACUGUCAUCGAAACCUUAAGCGUGCGGACCCUACGGGUUCGAGAACUAUGUAGACAUGACCUAGAACUAUUCUUGGUCAAUAACCAAUAGCGGGACCUGGAUGCCCAUAUUGGCUCCUACAUAUUCUACGAAGAUCUUUAUCGGUCAAACCGCAUAACAACAUACGUUGUUCCCUUUGUCAUCGGUAUGUUACUUGCCCGAGAUUCGAUCGUCGGUAUCCAAUACCUAGUUCAAUCUCGUCACCGGCAAGUCUUUUUACUCGUUCUGUAAUGCAUCAUCCCGUAACCAACUCAUUGGUCACAUUGCUUGCAAGGCUUAUAAUGAUGUGCAUUACCGAGAGGGCCCAGAGAUACCUCUCCGACAAUCGGAGUGACAAAACCUAAUCUCGAAUUAUGCCAACCCAACAUGUACCUUCGGAAACACCUGUAGAGCACCUUUAUAAUCACCCAGUUACGUUGUGAUGUUUGGUAGCACACAAAGUGUUCCUCCGGUAAACGGGAGUUGCAUAAUCUCAUAGUCAUAGGAACAUGUAUAAGUCAUGAAGAAAGCAAUAGCAACAUACUAAACGAUCGGUUGCUAAGCUAACGGAAUGGGUCAUGUCAAUCAGAUCAUUCAACUAAUGAUGUGAUCUUGUUAAUCAAAUAACAACUCUUUGUUCAUGGUUAGGAAACAUAACCAUCUUUGAUUAACGAGCUAGUCAAGUAGAGGCAUACUAGUGACACUCUGUUUGUCUAUAUAUUCACACAUGUAUUAUGUUUCCGGUUAAUACAAUUCUAGCAUGAAUAAUAAACAUUUAUCAUGAUAUAAGGAAAUAAAUAAUAACUUUAUUAUUGCCUCUAGGGCAUAUUUCCUUCACCUGUAACUAUGAGAAUUAGGCAACUCCCGUUUACCGGAGGAACACUUUGGGUACUACCAAACUUCACAACGUAACUGGGUGAUUAUAAAGGAGUACUACAGGUGUCUCCAAAGGUAUAUGUUGAGUUGGCGUAUUUCAAGAUUAGGUUUUGUCACUCCGAUUGUCGGAGAGGUAUCUCUGGGCCCUCUCGGUAAUACUCAUCACUUAAGCCUUGCAAGCAUUAUAACUAAUGAGUUAGUUAUGAGAUGACGUAUUACAGAACGAGUAAAGAGACUUGCCGGUAACGAGAUUGAACUAGGUAUUGGAUACCGACGAUCAAAUCUCGGGCAAGUAACAUACCGAUGACAAAGGGAACAACAUAUGUUGUUAUGCGGUUUGACCAAUAAAGAUCUUCGUAGAAUAUGUAGGAACCAAUAUGGGCAUCCAGGUCCCGCUAUUGGUUAUUGACCGAGAAUGGUUUUAGGUCAUGUCUACAUAGUUCUCGAACCCGUAGGGACCGCACGCUUAACGUUUCGAUGACAGUUUUAUUAUGAGUUUAUAAGUUUUGAUGUACCAAAGUUUGUUCGGAGUCCCGGAUGUGAUCACGGACAUGAGGAGGAGUCUCGAAAUGGUCGAGACAUAAAGAUUGAUAUAUUGGAAGCCUAUAUUUGGACAUCAGAAUGGUUCCGGGUGAAAUCGGGAUUUUACCGGAACACCGGGGGGUUACCGGAACCCUCCCGGGGGAUAUUGGGCCUUAGUGUGCCAAGAGGGAGAAGAGGUGGGCCGGCCAGGGCAGGCCGCGCGCCCCCUCCCCCCUAGUCCGAAUAGGACAAGGAAGGGGGGGGCGGCGCCCCCCCUUUCCUCUUUCCCCUCCCCCCUUUCCUUCUCCACCAAGGCAAGAGGGGGGAGUCCUACUCCCGGUGGGAGUAGGACUCCUCUAGGAGCACCCCUAGAGGGCUGGCCGCACCUCCCCCCUCCCUCCUUUAUAUACGGGGGCGGGGGGCACCCCAUAGACACACAAGUUGAUCUUCGUGAUUGUUCCUUAGCCGUGUGCGGUGCCCCCCUCCACCAUAUUCCACCUCGUUCAUAUCGUCGCGGAGUUUAGGCGAAGCCCUACGCCGGUAGAGCAUCAUCAUCGUCACCAUGCCGUCGUGCUGACGGAACUCAUCCCCGACACUUUGCUGGAUCGGAGUCCGGGGAUCGUCAUCGAGCUGAACGUGUGCUGAACUCGGAGGUGCCGUACGUUCGGUACUUGGAUCGGUCGGAUCGUGAAGACGUACGACUACAUCAACCGCGUUGUCAUAACGCUUCCGCUUACGGUCUACGAGGGUACGUGGACAAUACUCUCCCCUCUCGUUGCUAUGCCAUCACCAUGAUCUUGCGUGUGUGUAGGAAUUUUUUUGAAAUUACUACGUUCUCCAACAAGCCUGGCUCUGGGUUCUGCAUAUGUCGCUAAGUCCAUCUUCGACAGUGAAGACAAUGGCCUCGUCACCAACACUGAUGCCAAGGAUGAGGAUGACUCUGCCCCCACCUACUUCUUCAUGGCACGUGGUGCCAAGGUAAACUCAUGUGAUGCUUACUUUCAAACAUCAAGUGAAGAUGACUUUGAAUGUGAAGCUAAACCUAGCUACAAAACACUUGCUAAAAUUGCAACUGAACAAUAGAAUGCCAUGGAACAUAUUCAAAAACUGUUAGACAAAAGCGAUGACCUGUUGGACACGCAAAUGACCCGAUCUCAGUCCUUAAUUGAAGACAUAAAAAAUCUUCAUGUUAAGUAUGAGGAACUUGAAAGUCGUCAUGAAUCGCUCUCAACCUCUCACGAAAAGCUUUCCUAUGAUUAUCUUCAAAAGAAGCAGAAACUUGAGAAAUUGAGAUCGGCUCAUGAAGAUCUUCAAAAGGAAAAAGAGUCACUCUACGCUCAACAGAUCAGUUCCGCUUAGGAAGGAUUUGAACCACCUUGUCUAAAAUGUAUUGAGCGUGAUAAUGUUGUCACUGUUGCUGAAUGUUCAACUGCUACUACGGUUGCAAUAUCUUCAACUACUGAUGUGGUAACUAACCCCUCAUCUGAGGAUACCACUCCUAUUGCUGAUGAGAAUGCCAGUUUGAAGUCAUUACUUGAGACAGGAAUGUACAAAAGUCUCAAAGGGCAUCAGACACUAUGUGAUGUCCUUAAAAAGCAGAUUUUGAACCGAAACCCUAGGAAAGAGGGUGUUGGGUUCGAGAGGAAAAUGAAUGUUGAUGGUUCUUACUGGAUGCCUAAGCAGUACCCCAAAACCACAUGGGUUUCUGCUAAGGGACCUUCAGUAGAUCCAUCUACCUUAUCUGGCUUCAUUAGCGCUAACCCAAUUAUCAUUGAUGAAUCCUUUAAUGCAAACUAUAAACUGUUCAGGAAUCAGAAUGGUGAAGUGUUUGCCAGGUAUAUUGGUACUAACUGCAAGAAUGGACCACCUUUUAAGAAGAUCUGGGUGCCAAAAAGGUGUCUCGAAAAUCUUCCUGUGAAUGUCGUUACGACACAAUAUGGGAAGAAGACAAACACCAGACCAAAGGCUUCGUAUGGUCCAAAAGCUUCAUACAAACAAAGGACUCACCUGAGUCACCCUAACGCCAAUGUUUUGCAGGGAUCAUACUCAGACCUUUGAAUAUGAGCGUGUUUCAUCAAACCUCUAUGUUCAUAAGACUAAGAACUUUUUUGCUUAUUGAUAUGAGUAUUAUUCUCCUCCUGCAAGGCUAUUUGCUAGGGCUUCAAAGCCAAAGUUCUCAGAUGUUGCACUUAGACUCAUUGCUUCUAAGCCACCCCUGAAAAUGUGGGUGGUUAAGAAUACUUAACUCUCUUUUGCAGGGAAAGGUCUCCAGCCGGAAAUCAAAGGCGUCUGAUGCUUAUGCUGGGGACGUUAAACAUCUUGUGGGGCGCAAGAUAAAAUGCCCAAAUGGUCUUCCUAUGUAUUUUAUUCCUGAUUCGCUUGCCAGUCAUCUAAGUUCUAACCUGGAUCUAAGCUUUGAUAAUCCGCUUGCUCGUCAAAUGUUUAUGCUUCACAAUACCCUUGGUGAAGCCUAUCCUCCUAACUGCAUUGUAGGCUAUGACACCUCAUGCUUCAGAAUGGAUUAUGGAUAGUGGCUGCACCAACCACAUGACUGGUGAUCGAAAUCUUCUGAUGGAUUCAACUCUUCGGCCGUCUGAUAAGAGUCAUAUCACAUUUGCUGACACUGGUAAAAGUAAGGUAUUGGGUCUUGGCAGAGUUGCAAUCUCAAAGGAUCAGAACAUGGAUAAAGUGAUGCUUGUUGAAUCCCUUGGUUUCAACUUAAUGUCUGUAUCAAUGCUAUGUGAUUUGAAUAUGAUUGUGAUAUUUGGAAAAUAUCGUUGCCAUGUCCUUAUGGAAUAUGACAAAUCUCUAGUUUUUGAAGGGUAUCGAAAAGAUGAUUUGUAUAUGGUAGACUUCUCAGCAGGACCACAGCUAGCCACAUGUCUUCUAGCAAAAGCUUCAGAGUGCUGGCUUUGGCAUCGGAGGCUAGGACAUGUGGGCAUGAGGAACUUGUACAGUCUCGCGAAGAAGAAGCAUGUCGUGGGCAUCAAAGGCAUCAAGUUAAAGAAAGAUCAUUUGUGUCGUGCCUGUGAAGCUGGGAAGAUGACUAGGGCCAAGCAUCCCUCGAAGACAAUGAUGACGACAUCUCAACCCUUCGAGCUGCUUCACAUGGACUUAUUCGGCCCUACUCAUUACUCUACUCUUACUACCACUUCUUGUCUCUAUGGCUUCGUUAUUGUUGAUGAUUACUCAAGAUAUACCUGGGUACAUAUAAUUCUCUAUAAGAAUGAAGUGCAGGAUGUCUUCAGACGCUUCGCCAAUCAUGCCAUGACGAACUACGGUGUUAAGAUCAAGCACAUCAGAAGUGACAAUGGCACAGAAUUCAAGAACACCGGCCUCGACACUUACCUUGAUACACUUGGCAUCACUCAUGAGUUUUCUGCUCCCUACACACCUCAGCAGAAUGGCAUCAUGGAGCGCAAGAACAGAACCCUCAUCGAGAUGGCCCGGAUAAUGCUAGAUGAGUACAAGACUCCAAGAAAGUUCUGGCCUGAAGCCAUUGACACUGCAUGCCACAUCAUCAACUGAGUUUAUCUUCACAAGCUUCUGAAAAUGACAUCAUAUGAGCUGCUCACUGAUAAGAAGCCAAAUGUCAGUUACUUUAGAGUAUUUGGUACUAGGUGUUGGAUCAAGGAUCCACAUCACACUUCAAAAUUUGCACCAAAAGCACAUGAAGGUUUUAUGCUUGGUUACAGAAAGGACUCACACUCCUACAGAGUCUUCAACCUCUUUCACUAUAAAGUGGUUAAAAAUGUGGAUGUGCGAUUCAAUGAGACUAACGGCUCGCAAAGAGAGCACCUCAGGCUGAAGAUGAACUCAUCAUUGCACCAAGUCAACUUGACGACAAUGCUCAGCCUGAAGUCAAUGCUGAAGCUGAAGACAAUGAUCUGCAAGGGAAAAUCUUCGUCCAGUACAUCCUUGUGUUGCAAAUGAAGUACAAAUUGAGAAGAUCAUAAACAGCAUCAAUGCACCUGGUCCACUCACUCGUAGAAGAGCAACACAACUAGCAAAUUUCUGUGGGCACUUUGCAUUUGUCUCAAUAUCUGAACCCAAGAAAGUUGAUGAAGCCUUCAUGGAACCUGAAUGGAUUCAAGCCAUGCAAGAAGAGCUUCAUCAGUUCGAGCUGAACAAUGUCUGGGAACUAGUCAAGCGUACUGAUCCUCGCAAGCAUAAUAUCAUUGGCACCAAAUAGAUCUAUCGCAAGAAACAAGAUGAACAUGGUCAAGUUGUCAGAAACAAGGGUCCUCUGGUUGCUCAAGGCUACACUUCACAUCCACGGCUACAACAGGGAUAUUAAAACUUGGGUCCUUGAGUGGAUGACAGGAAAUGUGCACCAUGAAGCCAAAGCUCUUGAUCUCAUUGAGCUUACUGGCCUGCCCACUCCAGGUGAACUAUAUGAACCUGGUUGUCAGCUUCACCGCAAUGCUUUAGAGAGCAUAUUCCAGAAGCCUGAGCCCAACAUGAGCCAAAUGCUGAGUAUGAUGAAGCCUCUGCCACAAGAUGCUGAAUAUCCUAAGGAAUUCUUUGUUGAAGACCUAGAGUAUCUGCCCCGCACCAUCUAUCACAUUAUCAGGCAAACUCUAUGGCCCAUCAAAGGACAUUCUUCUGCAGCAAAGCUUGAAGGCUCAAUAAAGACAUUGGUCUUCUAUAUUCUCAAUGGCAUCAGCUUCAAUGCUCAGGAUUUCUUCAUUCGCCAACUUGCUGCAUCUGGCUCAGAUAUAUUUGGUCUGAAGUUUUAUGCUCCAUGGGUAAUGCAUCUUAUCAAGCUUCACUCUGCUAUCAACUAUCAGCCCUCUGCGCGCAACCAUCUCAUAUUCUUGCCAGAGGUUGAUAUGUCUGUCGAAGCCAUAUACCCAGAGCUUGCCAAGGAGCCACUUUAUCUUCACAAUGUCGAUCGUCAAAGUUUCUCUCACCAUGUUGAAGGAGUUCAAGAUGCCACUCGUGUUUAUCCUUUGGCUGGAAAUACACGUGCACCUCAUUGUGCCCAUACUGAAGCCACUGAAAGAACUAUUGCUCAAAGGCAUCGAAAGAGAUCUCCCGUGCUCAAUGACCGAGAGCUUCUCGUGGCUUUGCAUCAGAAACAGGAUAAGCAUCAUUACUGGCUUAAGCGUCAAAUGCAGAGUCUCUUAAUGGAUGUUAAUCGCAUUCGCAAUCUAGCCACCAAAAAUGCAUUUGUCACUCAUGAAACCUAUCGGCGGUCGUGGAAGAGUCUGACAUUACUCGGUUCUGAAGAUGAUCUUCAGCAAGAUGGCUUCACAGAGAGAUUCAAAUUUGAUUCCACUCCUCCAGGGAAUGUUGUCUUGCGUCAGACUCCUUCACUCGAAGACUCUGAGUACUCCUCCUCAGCAGCAACUGUAAAUGCCAGAGUCAUCGAUAACGAAGAUGAUGCUACUUCACCAACUACCACUUCGGCGCGUAUGGACACAGCACCAGGACCCUCUGCACCACCAAACUCCAACGUCGACCGUGCUCCUCCAUCUGCUCCUUCUGGGAACUAGUAGAUUCUCUAUGUCUUCAAACCUUUUUGGUCAUUACUGACAAAAGGGGGAGAAGCAUAUGAGUUGAUAGUCUUCAAGUGUGUCCUUAUGGGUGGUUGCAUUACUUUUGCCAAGUCUUACAACUCUCGCCUUUUGAUACAUUUGGUUCUUUGAGUUGUAACACUUAAAACUUGAUGGCCGUCUACUACUUUUCCUUACAUAAGAAACAGGAGCAAUUACAUGAUGAUUACAAAGAAGAAAAGACAAAAAUGUCAGGGGGCGAGCAGCCACCAAAAACACAAAAUAAGAUCAGAGUAGUGUGUUUAACCAAGCUAACAAGGCUGAUUUAAUUUAUCAAAUGGUAAACCCUGUGGCUUAUGCAUUAAAUGUAGAUGUCUCUUGAAAAACACUUUCCAGCUGGGAAAGGAAGAAGCCCACAGCUGAAAAAUGAAGCCAUUUUUCUCCUUGCAAAUAUUCCACAAGACCAAGACGCAAACCUCCCAAAAACUAGGCCGGCUAUUACAUGACUUUAUCAGACAAUUGUACAUGAACCCUAUAGCUAGUCAUUUAGCGACACUCUGCUCAAACCGCUAUAACGGGGCUAGAGUCGGGUAAUACUGAUGAGCAUAGACAGUAUCAAAAAGACGUAAAAUCAAUCCAAAAAGAGAUGAUCCCUUGUUUCAGUAACGUUCUAAGAGCAAAUAGUACAAUUCAGCCUGGAAUCAAGGCACUGGUGUUUCUAUUCCAUUAAAUAUCUCGUGUUGAGCCGGUCCAACAAAAGUAACCAUGCAAUGUUCUAUUGUUGGAACUGUCAAACAUGUUACUAUGUUUCAAACCUCACCGUACUAUGCUAAAAAAAUAGCAAUUGCCUUCGUGAUUAUUGACGUAACUUUGGCAAGCAGAUGGCCAAAAUCGCGAAGCUAUGUAUACAGUACGACAAGAAGUUCCGGCCAAAAAUGAGUAUCGUCAUCAAGGAUCUGAGGUCGCUGCUGGUCAGUAGCUCAAGCAAUCCUGCCGGCGCAGUAGGAGAAGCUCCCACGGUUAAAUUUUACUACCGCCCGUUCCUAAAUAUAAGACGUUGGGCCAGUUUAAUUUACAUAAGGAGUGUGGGUGUUCCACACCCACGGACAUUGCACCCCCGCAACACCCACGAUCGAAAACUUAGCAAAACAAAUAAAAAACGAAACUUUGCAGAUCCGACUAUGAGCAAAUGUUUUACGUGCAUGCAAAAUUUUGUGGCCAAAUGACACCCGAGGAGCUUUGUAAAAAAAAAGUUUCUGCUCAAAUAUAAAAUUUGAAACGUGGGUGCAGAGAAACAGUUUAUAUUUCAUUUCAUAUGGAGAUCAUUCGAUGUUACUUGGUGACCAAACUUUGCAAGGUUCUAAAACAUCUGCUCAUAAUCAAUGCCACAAAGUUUCAGAUUAUUUUGAAUUUUUUUCUCUUUUUACUGUUCAUUGCGUGGUGCGCCAAACUUGGGUGCAGCCACUACUUUUCCUCACAUAAGAAACAGGAGCAAUUACAUGAUGAUUACAAAGAAGAAAAGACAAAAAGGUCAGGGGCCGAGCAACCACCAAAACCACAAAACAAGAUCAGAGUAGUGUGUUUAACCAAGCUAACAAGGCUGAUUUAAUUUAUCAAAAGGUAAACCCUCUGUCUUAUGCAUUAAAUGUAGAUGUCUCUUUAAAAACACUUUCCAGCUGGGAAAGGAAGAAGCCCACUGCUGAAAAAUGAAGCCAUUUUUCUCCUUCCAAAUAUUCCACAAGACCAAGACGCAAACCUCCCAAAAACUAGGCCGGUUAUUGCAUGACUUUAUCAGACAAUUGUACAUGAACCCUAUAGCUAGUCAUUUAGCGACACUCUGCUCAAACUUCUAUAACGGGGCAAGAGCCGGGUAAAUUCUGACGAGCAUAGACAGUAUCAAAAAGAAGUAAAAACAAUCCAAAAAGAGACGAUCCCUUGUUUCAGUAACGUUCUAAGAGCAAAUAGUACAAUUCGGCCUGGAAUCAAGGCACCGGUGCUUCUAUUCCGUUAAAUAUCUCGUGUUGAGCCGGUGCAACAAAAGUAACCAUGCAAAGUUCUUUUGUUGGAACUGUCAAACAUGUUACUAUGUUUCUAACCUCACCGUACUAUGCUAAAAAAUAGCAAUUGCCUUGGUGAUUAUUGGGGUAACUUUGGCAAGCAGAUGGCCAAAAUCACGAAGCUAUGUAUACAGUACGGAAAGAAGUUCCGGCCAAAAAUGAGCAUCAUCGUCAAGGAUCUGAGGUCGUUGCUGGUCAAUAGCUCAAGCAAUCCUACCGACACAGUAGGAGAAGCUCCCACGGUUAAAUUUUACUAUCGCCCGUUCCUAAAUAUAAGACGUUGGGCCAGUUUAAUUUGCAUAAGGAGUGUGGCUGUUCCGCACCCACGGACAUUGCACCCCCGCAACACCCACGAUCGAAAACCUAGCAAAACAAAUCAAAAAAAUGAAACUUUGCAGAUCCGACUAUGAGCAAAUUUUUUAGGUGCUUGCAAAAUUUUGUGGCCAAAUGACACCCGAGGAGCUUUGUACAAAAAAAAGUUUCUGCUCAAAUAUAAAAUUUGAAACGUGGGUGCAGAGAAAGAGUUUAUAUUUCAGUUCAUAUGGAGAUCAUUCGAUGUUACUUGGUGACCAAACCUUGCAAGGUUCUAAAACAUCUGCUCAUAAUCAAUGCCACAAAGUUUCAGAUUAUUUUGAAUUUUAUUUCUAUUUUUACUGUUCAUUGCGUGGUGCGCCAAACUUGGGUGCAGCCACUACUUUUCCUUACAUAAGAAACAGGAGCAAUCACAUGAUGAUUACAAAGAAGAAAAGACAAAAAGGUCAGGGGGCGAGCAGCCACAAAAACCACAAAACAAGAUCAGAGUAGUGAGUUUAACCAAGCUAACAAGGCUGAUUUAAUUUAUCAAAAGGUAAACCCCCUGGCUUAUGCAUUAAAUGUAGACGUCUCUUGAAAAACACUUUCCAGCUGGGAAAGGAAGAAGCCCACUACUGAAAAAUGAAGCCAUUUUUCUCCUUGCACAUAUUCCAUAAGACCAAGACCCAAACCUCCCAAAAACUAGGCCGGCUAUUGCAUGACUUUAUCAAACAAUUGUACAUGAACCCUAUAGCUAGUCAUUUAGCGACACUCUGCUCAAACCGCUAUAACAGGGCUAGAGCCGCGUAAAUUCUGAUGAGCAUAGACAGUAUCAAAAAGAAGUAAAAACAAUCCGAAAAGAGAUGAUCCCUUGUUUCAGUAACGUUCUAAGAGGAAAUAGUACAAUUCGGCCUGGAAUCAAGGCACUGGUGUUUCUAUUCCGUUAAAUAUCUCGUGUUGAGCCAGUCCAACAAAAGUAACCAUGCAAAGUUCUUUUGUUGGAACUGUCAAACAUGUUACUAUGUUUCUAACCUCACCGUACUAUGCUAAACAAAUAGCAAUUGCCUUGGUGAUUAUUGACAUAACUUUGGCAAGCAGAUGGCCAAAAUCGCGAAGCUAUGUAUACAGUACAGAAAGAUGUUCCGGCCAAAAAUGAGCAUCAUCGUCAAGGAUCUGAGGUCGUUGCCGGUCAGUAGCUCAAGCAAUCCUGCCGGCGCAGUAGGAGAAGCUCCCAUGGUUAAGUUUUACUACCACUCAUUCCUAAAUAUAAGACGUUGGGCCAGUUUAAUUUACAUAAGGAGUGUGGGUGUUCCACACCCACGGACAUUGCACCCCCGCAACACCCACGAUCGAAAACUUAGCAAAACAAAUCAAAAAAAAUGAAACUUUGCAGAUCUGACUAUGAUCAAAUGUUUUAGGUGCUUGCAAAAUAUUGUGGCCAAAUGACACCCGAGGAGCUUUGUACAAAAAAAAGUUUCUGCUCAAAUAUAAAAUUUGAAACGUGGGUGCAAAGAAAGAGUUUAUAUUUCAGUUCAUAUGGAGAUCAUUCGAUGUUACUUGGUGACGAAACUUUGCAAGGUUCUAAAACAUCUGCUCAUAAUCAAUGCCACAAAGUUUCAGAUUAUUUUGAAUUUUAUUUCUAUUUUUACUGUUCACUGCGUGGUGUGCCAAACUUGGGUGCAGCCACUACUUUUCCUUACAUAAGAAACAGGAGCAAUCACAUGAUGAUUACAAAGAAGAAAAGACAAAAAGGUCAGGGGGCGAGAAGCCAACAAAACCACAAAACAAGAUCAGAGUAGUGUGUUUAACCAAGCUAACAAGGCUGAUUUAAUUUAUCAAAAGGUAAACCCUGUGGCUUAUGCAUUAAAUGUAGACGUCUCUUGAAAAACACUUUCCAGCUGGGAAAGGAAGAAGCCCACUACUGAAAAAUGAAGGCAUUUUUCUCCUUGCAAAUAUUCCACAAGGCCAAGACGCAAACCUCCCAAAAACUAGGCCGGCUAUUGCAUGACUUUAUCAGACAAUUGUACAUGAACCCUAUAGCUAGUCAUUUAGCGACACUCUGCUCAAACCGCUAUAACGGGGCUAGAGCUGGGUAAAUUCUGACGAGCAUAGACAGUAUCAAAAAGAAGUAAAAACAAUCCAAAAAGAGAUGAUCCCUUGUUUCAGUAACGUUCUAAGAACAAAUAGUACAAUUCGGCCUGGAAUCAAGGCACUGGUGUUUCUAUUCCGUUAAAUAUCUCGUGUUGAGCCGGUGCAACAAAAGUAACCAUGCAAAGUUCUUUUGUUGGAACUGUCAAACAUGUUACUAUGUUUCUAACCUCAGCGUACUAUGCUAAAAAAAUAGCAAUUGCCUUGGUGAUUAUUGACGUAACUUUGGCAAGCAGAUGGCCAAAAUCGCGAAGCUAUGUAUACAGUACGGAAAGAAGUUCCGGCCAAAAAUGAGCAUCGUCGUCAAGGAUCUGAGGUCGUUGCUGGUCAGUAGCUCAAGCAAUCCUGCCGGCGCUGCUGAAGCAUCUGGAGUGUGAAGAAUUGUUUGUCUAGUAGAAGUGAGAUAGCAUAUGUUGUGAUUUCUGAAUUUUUAUUUUUAGAAAACAGGAGUCUAGCCUGGUUCCAUUUUCGAUUGAAAUGAAAGCAGACGUUGACAUCACAACUAAAAAGAACAGCCUCAGAUCACCUGGCUAGUGGCAAACAGACACUGAGUAAGCACAUGAAGGAUCCUUUUCAAUGUGAUUUUUCUUAUAUUACCAUAGUGCAAUAGGGAGCAGCUCGGAAGUGUGAGUUCUCUGUUGACGUUGGCCAAAUUUCCAAUGUUUCAUGAUUGCUGGAUUAUUUGAGCCUUUACGCACCAUCCUUAGUUAUUAUGGGUUCCAGCUGAAGUUUCCAAUUUUCAGUCUCUGGUUUAAAUAGGUUUUCACAGCGAAGUAGGUAGAGUUCGGCCGUCGCUUGGUUGCUGUCCAGAUGAUCCAGCACGGAGGCGAGGCUGCGCGAGGCUGCUUCUAUGGAAUUUGGACGCAGCACCGUCAGAGGAGAAGUGGAGUACGUCGCCGGCGACGCAGAGGGUUGAUGCCCUGUUCCGCCGAUACCCCGGCCACACUUUGAGCCAGAGGAACACAGCCACCACGGCUGAGGUUCCUUCAACCUUGGCAGCGAUACCUUAUAGGUGCGCCUCAGCACUGUGCCAUGUCGUGCACUGGACGUCCCUAUUGGGCAGCUUUUUGGUUUCUUUCUCAGUUUCCUAUAUUUUUUAUUUUUGUCUUUUUUCUUCUGUUUUAGUUUUUCCCCAGGUUUUGUCUGUCAGGAGCGUGGGUGUGUUGGGCCUCCGUGUAAACUGUGAGGCACAUGUGUACUUUCGGGUGGAGCACAACUGUGCUUUACCCCGUGGGAGUACAAGUUAUUUGCACUUCCAAGUACAGUUAGUACAAUUUGGAAGCACGUGUUAGCUCACAUUUGAAGCAUGAUUUUUGCCUGAAACAAUUCAUUGAAAUAUGUCAAUAUGAAAUCUAGUUUUAAAAUCUCGACACCAAAUACGCAAUGAUAAAAAGGUUCAUGAUUUGGAUGCCCGGUUCAAAAGAUAUAUUAUUUUAGAAAAUGGAUAUAUGAAAAAAAACACAAACAAAACCACACACUACUAGAAUGCGACAAGUGGUGCAUACAUAAGCGAGGCACAUACCAUGCGUCAUUUUUCACCACCAGGGAAGAUUGGAGUGACAUUUGCAAGGAAUAUCCCUAAGAACAAAACACUUAGUAUUUUCCCACUUUAAAGUCCAUCGAGCCCUAAAUAGAGGUAAAAAGAUUUCAUCAUCUUUUUAAUUAAAAAAAGAAAAGAAUUGCUCAAUUAGUUGCAAAACUCGGGCGAAAACAGCUGCAACUACCCCCAUAGGGACGCCACCCAUCGACGUGGCUAUCGACGCAAAUCCGACACAUGCAGCCGAUGCAAGGACUGCAAAUGUCCAAAUUAAGGUGAGCUACUAAGCUUAAACGUCAAUCCCAUAAACCGCUCUGCUGCACUAGUUAACUAAGAUCAACAGAAUUCUCCGGGCAACAUACGAAAGCUGAGACUAACUCUACACCCAAAAUCCAUACGACCAAAUUAGCAAGAUAUACAGUUGCAGAAGGUCUAACUAAAGUAGCCACCAAUUCCGGUAGGUCUACAAACAAUUAAGUUGGAAACAAUACCUGACAGUAGCAUUUCCUUUGAGUGCAGCGAUUCGGUGCCCAGACUCAUCUGCUCCUGGCCAGAAAAAAAAUUCACAAAAAAAUACUAGAAAAAUUCAAAAAAUUCCAAAUUUUUUCUCAUGGUAGAAAAUUUAUUGCGAGAGGUUCAAUCCAAAUUCUAGCUCAUUUGGGCAUCUGAGUAGCUCUCAGCAAAAAAGACAAAUCCUGUCAAAAUAGUACAUGAACAGUAAACUAUUUUACAAACCCUGAAUUUGUCGUUUUUGCCGAGAGUCGCUCAUUUGUCCAAAUGAUUUGAAAAUUAGAGCGGGCCUCACGCAUCAAAUUAUCUACCAUGGGGAAGAACAUUGGAAUUUUUUGAAUUUUUCUAGUAUUUGUUUUGAUUUUUUUAUUCAACACGGGUGCAGAUGAGCCCUGGCUCAGAAAAGGAUUUCCGAUUUCCUUCAGCCUAUUCUUAUCAGAGAGCGAAUUCGUGUCCGAAAAAGAUGUCAGUUAAGUUAAGAGGAAAGUUUGCUUUUAGUCCCUCGUGUUUACCAAAAGUCUACAUAGGAUCCCUGAAAUAAAUUGGGGCAACACUUAGUCCCUCAUGUGUCAAAACCGGGUAAAUUUGAUCUAAACCAGAAGGAAAACGCUUGCGUUCGGCGCGCCAGCCGAACGCUUUGGCCGGUCGUCUUCUCGCACGCGCAUUCAUCUCUCUUAUUCUUUAUUUCAAAAAAGCAUCGCAGCUCAUUCAUGGCUACUGCAGCCUUCGCCCACCGCCUCGCUGAGCGCCUCCGGGCAGAUCCACGCUGUUCCUCCAAGCCGGCUUGCAUCCCCUGUCGGAUCUCGUCCGCAGGCCGUCAUGGAGUCGCCGGCCUCCCCUUCCCAUCGGCAUGGGGGCGAUCCCUUUUUGCCUUUUCCCGUUUCCUCACUUGUUUCUCCUCCGGCGAGCAGGCCGCCGCCUCCCACGCCACCUCCUCAACAAAUCCCCCACGCCCUCGCAUCUGAUGCCACCGGUGUUGGAGACGAAAAGCCAUGACCAGAGACGGUGAUGUUGCAACCGGCGACGAGAAAAGCUACUACCGGCGAUGAGAAAACCUACGACUGGCGACUAAAAAAGCUACAACUAGAGACGACGACGUUGCAACCGGCGACGAGAAAAGCUACGACCGGCGACGAGAAAGUGGGUCGGCCGCUGCGCAACAUUAAAAGCUGCAACCGACGAUCGAUAAUGUUACAACCGGCAUUAUCGAAAGCUUCAACCGGAGACGACGGGAAUCGAGGACCGCCCACCAUCACUAGUAGAAAAGGGGACAAUGGUCUAGGCCGGUCCAGCCCAUUAGUCCCGGUUCAAUCCAGAACCGGGACCAAUGGAUGCAUUGGACCCGAUUCGUGAGCACCGGGGGCCGGCCGGGCGACGUGGGCCAUUGGUCCCGGUUCGUCUGGAUCUAUUGGUCCCGGUUGGUGGGACGAACCGGGACCAAUGGGCCUCGCUCCUGGCCCAACACCAAUGGUCCCGGUUGGUGGCUUGAACCGGGACCAAAGGCUGCCCUUUAGUCCCGGUUCAUGCCACCAACCGGGACUAAAGGGUUGGUCCUCGUUGCGGCCAGAUUUUAGUCCCACCUCGCCAACCGAAGGGGAAUCAGACCGGUUUAUAAGCCCCUCCCUCUCUGCCUUAUUGUCCUCCUCUAAAAAUGAAAAUAGAUGCCCUUAUAUAGGGAAUUUAGCCUAAAUUCAUACGGAUUUCUCUUGAAAUUCGUUAUGAAUUUAAGUUGAAUUUCUUCUAUAAGCGCAUCUAUGCUCAUUUCUGAGUAGUUUUUUAUAUAGUUUUUUUUUCUGCUAUAUUUAUUUUUUUGUUUUUAUUUCUGAGUUGUACUAAGUCAUUAAAAAUAAGCAUCUAUGCUCAUUUUUUAGUAAAGUUAAUCAUAACUAUUUUUUCUUUUAUUUAUUUUUGAAUUGUAAUAAGUCACUAAAAAUAAGCAUCUAUGCCCAUUUUUUAGUAAAGUUAAUCACAACUAUUUUUUUGUUUUUAUUUCUUAGUUGUAAUAAGUCAUUAAAAAUAAGCAUCUAUGCUUCUUNNNNNNNNNNNNNNNNNNNNNNNNNNNNNNNNNNNNNNNNNNNNNNNNNNNNNNNNNNNNNNNNNNNNNNNNNNNNNNNNNNNNNNNNNNNNNNNNNNNNNNNNNNNNNNNNNNNNNNNNNNNNNNNNNNNNNNNNNNNNNNNNNNNNNNNNNNNNNNNNNNNNNNNNNNNNNNNNNNNNNNNNNNNNNNNNNNNNNNNNNNNNNNNNNNNNNNNNNNNNNNNNNNNNNNNNNNNNNNNNNNNNAUGCUUCUUUUUUAGUACAGUUAAUCACAACUAUUUUUUCUUCUAUUCAUUUCUGAGUAGUUUUUUAUAUAGUUUUUUUUUCAUUUCUGCUAUAUUAUUUUUUCUUUUUAUUUCUGAAUUGUAAUAAGCCAUUAAAAAUAAGCAUAUAUGCUCCUUUUUUAGUACAGUUAAUCACAACUAUUUUUUGCUUCUAUUCAUUUCUGAGUAGUUUUCUAUAUAGUUUUUUUCUUUUCUGCUAUAUUUAUUUUUUUCUUUUUAUUUCUGAGUUGUAAUAAGUCAUUAAAAAUAAAAAAGAGGCGCAAUGCUCGUUAAUUUGCUUCAAGCCUUUCGGAAUAGUGUCAACUGCACUGCACAUAGCUCUGUGCAGUCUACCGUAUUCCUCAAGGCUUGAAGCUAACCAACGUGCUGGAGCAUUGAGCCUCUUCGUCAUCGUCUCUGCACUCAGGGCUUAUAAACAGCUGCGAGUGCCUCUCGCUUGGCGAGGUGGGACUAAAAAAACAGCUGCUGGAAGAAUCAACAAAAAAACAGCUGCAGAAAAUAAAAAAGGAGUUAGACGGGUCCAUUGGUACCGGUUCAUGGUACCAACCGGUACCAAUGCCCCUCAUUGGUCCCAGUUCAGGGCACCAACCGGGACGAAUGCCGCUCUUUAGUCCCGGUUGGAGCCUCCAACCUGGACCAAAGGUCUUCGUUUCCCGCCCUUUGGGCUGCUGAAAGGAGGCCUUUGGUCUCGGUUGGUGGCACCAACCGGGACUAAAGGUGGCAUUAGUCCCGGUUGGUGCCACCAACCCCGACCAAUGCUAUUGCUAUAUAUACAGGACUUGGCAGUUUUCGCCAAAACCCAUCUCUUUCCUCUCGUCGGCGUCGCCGCCGAGCCCUGCCCCGACGCCCUGCUCUCGUCGUUGUCGCCACCCCCGCCGUCGCCCCUGCCCCGCGCCGCCCCGAGCCCACCGUCCCCGUCGCCGCCCCGAGCCCGCCGUCCUCGUCGCCCCUACCCCGCACCGCCCCGAGNNNNNNNNNNNNNNNNNNNNNNNNNNNNNNNNNNNNNNNNNNNNNNNNNNNNNNNNNNNNNNNNNNNNNNNNNNNNNNNNNNNNNNNNNNNNNNNNNNNNNNNNNNNNNNNNNNNNNNNNNNNNNNNNNNNNNNNNNNNNNNNNNNNNNNNNNNNNNNNNNNNNNNNNNNNNNNNNNNNNNNNNNNNNNNNNNNNNNNNNNNNNNNNNNNNNNNNNNNNNNNNNNNNNNNNNNNNNNNNNNNNNNNNNNNNNNNNNNNNNNNNNNNNNNNNNNNNNNNNNNNNNNNNNNNNNNNNNNNNNNNNNNNNNNNNNNNNNNNNNNNNNNNNNNNNNNNNNNNNNNNNNNNNNNNNNNNNNNNNNNNNNNNNNNNNNNNNNNNNNNNNNNNNNNNNNNNNNNNNNNNNNNNNNNNNNNNNNNNNNNNNNNNNNNNNNNNNNNNNNNNNNNNNNNNNNNNNNNNNNNNNNNNNNNNNNNNNNNNNNNNNNNNNNNNNNNNNNNNNNNNNNNNNNNNNNNNNNNNNNNNNNNNNNNNNNNNNNNNNNNNNNNNNNNNNNNNNNNNNNNNNNNNNNNNNNNNNNNNNNNNNNNNNNNNNNNNNNNNNNNNNNNNNAGAUUUUUUUGGUGAUAUUAUUAUUGAAUAUGCAUGUUUGGUGAUAUUAUUGUUAAUAGAAUUUUUUUGGUGAUAUUUAGAUUGUGUAAUUAAUUUUGUUCAUAGAAUUUUAAUGAUUUUUUUUGUUCAUAGUAUUUAGAAAAAGGAAAAAAAUAAGAAGUAGUUUAUAUAUAGUUGAACUAGCUAGUUGAUUUAAUAAACUAAUUUAUUUUACUAUAUAUAGAAGUAGUUUGUUUUUAGUAAGUACUACUUAUUUAUUUGUAGUAAGUUCUUAGUAGUUGAACUAGAUAGUUGAUUUAAUUAAUAAAACUACUUUUAUUUAACUAUAUAUAGAAUUAGUUCCCGCGUCGACGUCGGCGAUGCCUAUCCCGCAUCCUCGUCGUCGUCGACUCGGCAGUGGAGGCCUGCUUGAUCAGGGCCAUGUUCGGGACUGGGCUCCGCCGGGCUGGUAUUGGGAGGUGCUACCUUCCAAGGGACGUAAGUUGGUGAGGAGGCAGCCCGUUGUUGACCCGAUCCUUGUUUGGUGGCGGUCGCGUGGGCCAGUGACGGUGGUGAGGCAUCCGGACACCACGGAGGUGGUACGUCACCGUGUCAGCGAGGAGGACGAGCACGUCCGUCGCUACAUGGUUGCAUUGGAGGGGAGGUUCGACAAUACCUGGCAGGUUCUUCAGGGAUCUCACUGGAGCUAUGAUCCUGUGAUGGUUCCUUAUCUUUGGGUGUCCACUGCCCGCGUCGAUACCCGUCGGGCGCUACGGUUCUAGUUGUAUUAGUGAUAAUAUUCGACGAUGUAUGGACACCAAGAGAUGAUGUACUUUUGCUUAUAAUUAUUGAAUGCAUGCUAAUUUGAAUACUAUACUUUAUUUUAUGAUUUGGUUUUGCUUAUUUUAUGAUUUGGUUUUGCUUAUUGAAUGCUCAUAUUGGAUAAGUUCUCCUUCAUUCCCGUGUGCUAGACAAUUUGGUAUAAUAAUGCAUUCGGGAAUGAAAGAGGAGCCACGUAUACGUACAUCGAUCAUCGAUAGUCAACCCGUGAUUAAUAAUAAUGAUCUAGUUUAAUAUUUGAAUUAUGAACGUAGGACGGAAAUGUCGUACUCAUCGGACGACGAAAACCGUCCGGGGGAGUGUGACUGGUGCCACGAUGACCGAGGUAUCUGCAACAGGUUCUUUGAGUUGGACGAAGAUCGACGCUUCAGCAUUAAGCUCGAGGAGACUUGCGAUGUUCAUACGGUAUGCAACGACGACAAUAGUUUUUUUCGUAAUUAAGCAUGACUUCAACUAUUUUAACGUGUAUUUUUCAUCUUUUCCAAUUGGACUAGCUUAUCCCAUGCUUUGCAAGACGUUAUGUCUUGGAGAGGAUGGGUUCUCAAGACCAUGAAUGUUUCGAAACCAAAAAAAUUAUCCUAAGUAUCCAUCAUGGUGUGGAUUUUCAAGUAAAGCUGUACAAUGCUCAGAGUGUAACCCAUUUUGGUUGCAAAAGUUGGGAAGCACUUUGCAAGAUGUAUUAUCUUGAUGAGGGUAUGCUUGUCACCAUGGAUCUUGGUGAUCCUACAAUCGAGCAAGAGAGAACUUCUAUUUGGGUCCUUGUGGAUACACCUCCAAUUUUUCCCUCAUGUGAGCUAAACAUAGUUAUUAAGUAAUUUAUAUUGUUUGUUUCAAAAUAUAUAGUUGACAACUUAUCUCCAUUGACAGCUUAUUUUCAUUCUUCAAAGAAUCUGCGGAAGAUGGUAGACAGAACGUACUACACCGAAGGCUCCGAAUUAACUUAUCAGAAGAAAAAUCAUCUUGUCGGAUUUUGUACUGAUCUUGAGAAUUACAAUAUCUACAAUCAAACUUCUCAACAUUAUGGUCAAUACGUGCCACUAGUGCACGUGUUGAACUACGGUAACUACCAUGGAGAUACCCUGGUAAAAUUAUUUUUUACUAUUACAACAUCCGUGCAUCUUUUUGCACACUUCUAAAACUCGUAUAUACAUCAUUGCUAACUACGAAGUUAUUACUAUGUUUUUCAACAGAUAAUCCAGAAUGAUUGUGUGCCUCAUCUGAUGUAUACGCAUGGUGGCCUUCAUGUUUUGAACAUACAACCAGGUCGUCCUACGAAUCUCAACUGUCCAUACCGGGUUUCUAAAAGAAGUGGGGACAUAACAAUCAAAGAAUGGAAAAAAUGUAUGGACAGUCAGGGUCUAUAUUGUUUUAUGCUAUUUCUUGGACGCAAUAAGCAGCGAAGGGCAAGAAUUGGAGACAGGAUAAUCGCCAUUCUUCAUAAUGGAGAGUCAGGGUCUAUAUUGUUUUAUGCUAUUUUACCUUAAGGGUGUUUAGGUCCUACCUGAUACUGAUGAUCAUGUGCUAAGAACAAUUAUGUAGGGUUGGGUUCGAUGACUAUGAGGAUGAUGAUCGUAUGACUUAUUAUUAAUAACGAGUAGAAGUUGUAUGAUGAUGCAUGAUUAGUAGGACUUGUUAUUAUAUAUAUAUACAUGAUGCAUGAGCAUGUUAUAUCUGCGGGUGCAAUCACUAGUAGAAAAAGGGUCAAACGUGCAGCACAUUAGUGCCGGUUUGUAUUAGAGCCGGCACUAAUGUAUACAUUAGUGCCGGUUCCAAUGGCUAGCCGGGCCGCUCUCAUUAGUACCGGUUCGUGGCUAACCUUUAGCACCGGUUCGUGCCACGAACCGGUACUAAUGAAGGUGGUGGCAGGAUGUUGUCAGUUUGGGCCCCCUCCAGCACCUUUAGUACCGGUUCGUGCCACGAACCGGUACUAUAGGUCCUCCUGCAUAUAAACCCUUCGUCCAGCUUGCUUUGUUCUUCCCCCUUUCCCCUCUCCUCUCCUCUCUGUUCUUCCUCUUCCCCUCGAGCUCACCACAAAUUUUGCCCAAAAUUUGUCAAGAUUUGAAGGCCCCCAUCCAUUCAAAUGAUCACAAAGGUUAGCAACUUUGUCCUUCCAUCUCUCAUUGCUAGAUUAGCUCUUGCAAUGCUUUAUAUAGUUACUAAUUUGUGAGUUUAGUAAUUUGGGAGGAAAUAUAUAUAUAUAUGCUAGUAUUUGAUUUAUAUGCAAUUUGAGGUCAAAAAUAACACUUAGUUUGCAUAUGUAGGUGUGGUUUACUUAGUGCCUUCUAAAUCUCCGUCGUAACCACCGUCGAUCGCCCGCACCGUCCUGUCACCGGCACCACCUUGUGGUGAGCCUCUUGUUCAUGUAAUUUUAUAUAAAAAAUUGAUGUUUGUGUGAUUUGGAUAUAUAGUUAAUCAUGUAAUAAUUAUCUUACCCGUACGUUGUUUGUUAUACAUAGUGCCAUGGUUUUGAUAUCCGUCCCCGUCGGCCCUCGUCCUUGUUAUGAUUCGGAUGUGGUAUAUUUUCUUUUAAAACUAUUAGUUGCAUUUCGUGUUUAUGACAAAUUAUGCCCAUCAAGUUGACAUAGAUAUUUUUAUCUAGGAGGUAUGUGAACCGGAAAUUCCAACCGACCCUAUUGUCGAGAGGUUAAAUUUAGUUGAAAGAGAAAACGAGUACUUGAAAGAAAAAUUGAAAAGAAUUGUGGGGGAGAAGAUGGAAUUGGAGUUGCAUGUUGCCGAUGUCGUCGAUGAUCACAAGAUCAAGAUGGAGAAAAUGCGCUUGAAGAAUAGAAAGAUUAGAAAAUAUGCCAUCGAUAGUGAGGCUUGGUAUCAUUAUGCUGUUGGAUCAAUUGUUACCUUAGUUGCGAUCUUGAUCGCAUUUGUUGUUGCAUUUAAAUGCUUUAGCUAGAGAGUUAUUUGUUUGUUGCAUUUAAGUGUUGUAUGAACUUUAUGUAUGAACUUGUAUUAAUUUGGUCUAUUCGGUGUUGUGUAAUGAAGAUGAGCCGGCAAUGGAUGUACGAUGACCGAUGCUCACCCCGGUUCGUUGAGGGGGUGCAUACUUUUCUGCUUGCGGCUGAGGCAAACAAGAGGGCGGAUGGUUUUAUGCCUUGUCCAUGUGGUGUCUGUAAAGAGAAACUGCGCAAGUGAUUUGGAGAAGAAGAAGUUGCAGCGCAUGUUAGAGGAUCACAAAAAAUUGUUGUACCCGAAUUGCGUAGGUGACAAGAAAAAGCUGGGCACCACACUGGAAUUGCUGCAAUGGAAGGCAGAGAAUGGUGUAUUUGACAAGGGAUUUGGAAAGUUGCUGGUAAUGAUAAAGGAUAUGCUUCCAAAGGACAACGAAUUGCCCGAGAGUACGUACGAAGCAAAGAAGGCUGUCUGCCCUCUAGGGUUAGAGGUGCAAAAGAUACAUGCAUGCCCUAAUGAUUGCAUCCUGUACUGCGGUGAGUACGAGGAUUUGAACGCUUGCCCGGUAUGUGGUGCAUUGCGCUAUAAGAUCAGCCGCGAUGAGCCUGGUGAUGUCGAGGGCGAGUGCCCCAGGAAGAAGAUCCCUGCCAAGGUGAUGUGGUAUUCUCCUAUAAUACCAUGGUUGAAACAUUUGUUCCAAAACAAAGAGCAUGCCAAGGCGAUGAGAUGGCACAGAGAAGACCGUAAGAAAGACGGAAAGUUGAGAGUACCCGAUGAGCACAUGGGGGAAGAAUUUGACCUCAAGGCGUUGCUGUUCGUGACCAUCAAUGAUUGGCCUGCUCUCAAUAACCUUUCAGGACAGACAAACAAGGGAUACCGCGAAUGCACGCACUGUUUGGAUGAUACCGACAGUAUAUAUUUGAAUAGUUGUAAGAAGAAUGUGUACCUGGGACAUCGUCGAUUUCUUCCGAGCAGGCAUCCCGUAAGAAAGAAAGGCAAGCAUUUCAAAGGUGAGGCGGAUCACCGGACGAAGCCCCGCCAUCGUACUGGUGCUGAUGUACAUGAUAUGGUCAAGGAUUUGAAGGUGAUAUUUGGAAAGGGUCCUGGCGGACAACCUGUUCCGAAGGACGCGGACGGACGCGCACCCAUGUGGAAGAAGAAAUCUAUAUUUUGGGACCUGCCAUAUUGGAAAGACCUAGAGGUCCGCUCCGCAAUCGAUGUGAUGCACGUCACGAAGAAUAUUUGCGUGACCCUGCUUGGCUUCUUGGGCGUGUAUGGGAAGACAAAAGAUACACCUGAGGCACGGGAGGACCAGCAACGUAUGCACGGAGAAGACGGCAUACAUCAGGGUCAUGCAAGCUACGCUCUUACCAAAGAAGAGAAGGAAAUCUUCUUUGAAUGCCUGCUCAGUAUUAAGGUACCGUCUGGCUUCUCGUCGAAUAUAAAGGGAAUAAUAAACAUGGCAGAGAAAAAGUUCCAGAACCUAAAGUCUCAUGACUGCCACGUGAUUAUGACGCAACUGCUUCCGGUUGCAUUGAGGGGUGAGGGAGUCCUGGACUAGGGGGUGUCCGGACAGCCGGACUAUCAAUAUCCGCCGGACUCCCAGACUACGAAGAUAGAAGAUUGAAGACUCCGGCUCGUGUCCGGAAGGUACUUUCCUUGGCGUGGAAGGCAAGCUUGGCGAUACGGAUAUGUAGAUCUCCUACCAUUGUAACCGACUCUGUGUAACCCUAGCCUCUCCGGUGUCUAUAUAAACCGGAGGGCCUUAGUCCAUAGGACGAACAUUACAUCUCAACAAUCAUACCAUAGGCUAGCUUCUAGGGUUUAGCCUCCUUGAUCUCGUGGUAGAUCUACUCUUGUACUACCCAUAUCAUCAAUAUUAAUCAAGCAGGAUGUAGGGUUUUACCUCCAUCGAGAGGGCCUGAACCUGGGUAAAAACAUUGUGUCCCUCGUCUCCUGUUACCAUCCACCUAGACGCACAGUUUGGGACCCCCUACCCGAGAUCCGCCGGUUUUGACACCGACAUUGGUGCUUUCAAUGAGAGUUCCUCUGUGUCGUCACCGAUAGGCUCGAUGGCAUCUUCAACCAUCAACACUGUCCAGGGUGAGACUUUUCUCCCCGGACAGAUCUUCAUAUUCGGCGGCUUUGCACUACGGGCCAAUUCUCUUGGCCAUCUAGAGUAGAUCGAAAGCUACGCCCCUGGCCGUCAGGUCAGAUUUGGAAGUUUGAACUUCACGGCCGAUGACCGCGGAGAUUUGAUCUUCGACGGACUCGAGCCACAGCCAAGCGCGCCGCACUGUGACGAUGGGCAUGAUCUAGCUCUGCCGCCGGACAGUGCUUUGGAGGCCGCACUCGAACCCGUUCCGGCUACUAGCCCGGAGCCGGUUGCCCAUGACGGGGGCCGGUGGAUAGACGCCGCCCUGGGGGCUUCAACAUCUAUGGCGAUGGAGCCGAAUACCAAUCUCGUCCCCUGCGAAACUCAUGAUCCCGAGACGCCGGACUCCUCGCCGGACUCUGAGCCUCCCGCGCCCCUGCCAAUUAAACCGGAUUGGGCGCCGGUUAUGGAAUUCACCGCCGCGGACAUCUUUCAGCACUCGCCUUUCGGCGAUAUCCUGAAUUCUCUGAAGCAUCUCUCGCUAUCAGGAGAAUCCUGGCCGGAUUAUGGCCAGGACGGUUGGAGUUCAGACGACGAAGAAAUUCAGAGCCCACCCACCACCCAUUUUGUAGCCACUGUCGAAGAUCUAACCGACAUGCUAGACUACGACUCCGAUGACAUGGAUGCUAUGGACGAUGAUGCCGGAGACGAACAGGACCCAGCACCCAUGGGGCACUGGAAGGCCACCUCGUCAUAUGACGUCUACAUGGUGGAUACCCCAAAAGAAGGGGAUGGCGAAAAAGCAGCGGAGGAAGAUUCUCUAAAGAAACAGCCUAAACGCCGACGUCAGCGGCACCGCUCUAAAACCCGCCACAACAAGAAUGAAGAUUCCGGCACAGGAAAUAACAAUACCCCAGAGAGUGCCGAAGACAAACCCCUCCAGCAAAACUCAGCGCAGGAGGAUGCAGAAGCAAGCCCUCACGAAGGGGCGGCAGAAGAAAAGGUUGAGGAUCACAACUAUAUACCUCCCUCCGAAGACGAAACAAACCCCAAUAACGACGAACUCGAGGAGCCCGUCGAACAAGAGCUUUUCAAACGCAGGAUCAUCGCUACAGCAAGAAGCCUGAAGAAGGAAAAACGGAACCUCAACACAGCGGAAGACGCGCUCCGAAUAAGAUGGAGCAAAAUACUCAAGACUGCAGAUAAACACGGCAACGGCCACCAAUCGAAGAGCUACCCAAAGCGCAAGCUGCUCCCAGAGUUCGACGAGGAGGCCAUAAAGCCCCCACCGUCCAACGGCCCAGCCAGGUCCAUCUACGGACCCAAAAAGACAGCCCCAAUAAGCAAAGGAACACGUCAAGUAUCCGAUGAUAGCGGCACGUACAAGUACAGGGGCGCCGCACACCCAUUAUGCUUCACCGACGAGGUGCUGGAUCAUGAAUUCCCAGCAGGGUUUAAACCCAUAAACAUAGAAGCUUACGAUGGAACAACAGACCCUCGAGUCUGGAUAGAAGACUGCAUACUGCAUAUACAUAUGGCCAGAGGAGAUGAUCUCCACGCCAUAAAAUAUCUACCCCUCAAGCUUAAAGGGCCAGCCCGUCAUUGGCUCAAAAGCCUCCCAGAAAAUACUGUUGGAAGUUGGGAAGAGCUCGAGGAAGCGUUUAGAGCAAAUUUUCAAGGGACUUAUGUCCGGCCUCCGGAUGCAGAUGACCUAAGUCACAUAACUCAACAGCCCGAAGAGUCAGCGCGGAAAUUCUGGAACAGGUUCCUUACCAAAAAGAACCAAAUAGUCGACUGUCCGGACGCCGAAGCCUUAGUAGCUUUUAAGCACAAUGUCCGAGACGAAUGGCUCGCCAGACACCUCGGUCAAGAGAAACCGAGGACAAUGACCGCAUUAACAAGCCUCAUGAACCGCUUCUGUGCAGGAGAGGAUAGCUGGCUGGCAAGAUGCAGCACCAGCGACCCAAGUACAUCCGAGAUAAGAGAUGGAAAUGGAACAUCACGGCGCAGAAAAGAGCAGCGCCGGAAUAAAGAGAAAAGCCCAAAGAGCACGGCAGUCAACGCCGGAUUUAAAAGCUCACGACCAAUAGUAAAACUCAGCCCCUCAAGGACGACAGCGACGAAUUGUCUAACCUACACAAAAUUUUGGGUCGGAUAUGUCAAAUCCACAGUACCCCCGGAAGGCCCGCAAAUCACACCCACAGGGAUUGUUGGGUUUUCAAACAGUCCGGCCAAUUAAACGCCGAACACAAGGGGCUCGACGCGUCAAGCGAAGAAGAUAAACCCCACCAGCAGGGCACCGGAAAACAAAAGACUUUCCCACAAGGGGUCAAAGCAGUAAACUCACUUCAUGUGAGGACACGGAAAAACAGUGCGGCACUUCCUAAAAAGAGCUUCGCACGGUCUAGCCCAGCAAACCAUGGAGAUUGGAUAUCAAAACCAAUCACUUUCGACCACCUGGAUUAUUCCAGAAGUGUUCAAAACGCGGGACGGACUCCCCUGAUAUUGAAUCUGGUAAUAGACGGACUACAACUCACAAACGUCCUAAUGGACGGAGGCAGUGACUUAAACCUGCUAUACUCAAACACAAUCCGUCGGAUGGGGAUAGACCCUACCAGAAUUCGACACAGCCGCACUUCCUUCAAAGGAGUUACGCCAGGCCCUUACGCCAAGUGCACAGGCUCGAUAUUACUAGAAGUCGUGUUCGGUUUGCCGAACAACUUUCGACGCGAAAAGUUAAUUUUCCAUAUCGUCCCAUUCAAAAGUGAAUAUCAAGCACUAUUGGGACGAAAGGCUUUUGUCCGCUUCAACUCCAUACCAUAUUACGCGUCUCUUACACUUAAGAUGUCCGGUCCACAUGGCGCCAUUUCAGUGCGCGGGUCAUUUAAAGACCCCGGACUCGGAUAGACGAAUCCGGACUCAGCAGGCUAGGGGCUCCCUAGCCGCAUACCCUCUCACAAGGGGCUGCGCGCACAACUAACCGCGGUUUCAUAUAAACCUAGCUUUAAUCAUUUACACUUAUUAUUUUGCAUAUUUUUCGCACGAACUGUUUCUAAAACUAAAGUGUUCUUCUCUUUCUACAGAUGAACAACGUGCGUACCCGUCCAGGAUAACGGCGCAACGGAGACACAGGCGCAAACGUGCAGUAGGGACCCGUCGCAAGGAUUCUUUUCAGAUUAAGACCCUACGUAGACCUUUUUAUUACUGUCUCUUGUUGUUAAAUCUCCCUCGGCUUCUCCCUAUAGCCAAAGCGGAGCCUGACGCUUUGGCAUCGGCCGCGUCAGAAGACAAAUGCCCGUACCUGGACACAAGGGGCUUAGGGCAUAAUUCUGCCUGUUAUCAUAAAGUCCGAACACCUUCGGGAGUGUUCGGCGUCUCAAGUUAGGCAUUAUAUGCAUCAGCUCCGAAUCAUGUCUUUGGUCAAAUGUUGGGUUUGCCCGACUCCUGUGUUUUGCUGCCUUACGUUCCGUAUCACCUGGCUAACGCGGCACCAGGAGAACUACUGCGAUUGUGCCCCAGUUCGGCUGGGUGAGCACCUCAGUAGAGAAAGCCGAAAACUGACUGUCAUGAUAUAGCGAGAGUCUGGUCAGCCACUUGAUCGACUACCAGAAUGUUUAGAAUUCCCCGCCUUGACGAAGGACCGCUUCCCGGUCAGGCACAUACGCACCCCGAAUACGGAGAUGUGCGGUGUCAUUAGGGGCUAUAUCGUAGCCCCACCCUUGAGCUCCAUUGGCUAAGUGAAAGAAAUAAAGCACCAUAGUCCGGAUUGCCUCGUUCGCUACGCUACCACCUCCUUAUAACAGGACCGAGACGUCGGAUUAAGUGUGAAAAAGCGCUAUUUUGCGAACACCCCAGCACCUUGUGCAAGGGGGCUGAAGCCGAAGACUGCAUCUUUCAGGUUAUACACAAGUAUACGCAAACGGCCGCACGGGAGAAGUUUUUACUACUUGGAAGCACAAGUAUAAAAAGCAUUCAUACUAUAAUCAUUAAUUUACAAGGUAUUGCGUUCAUUUGAACGUUACAUUCUUUGAGCACUGCGCCUCUACUUUACGAGCACCGCGCAUGACUUCUCCGAAGUAGUGCUCGGCAGGGAGCCGGCUUCUAUCCGGACCCUGGGAAACAACGGCGGUGGUAUCCAUCUCCGGAUAAUGCACCUUCACACGAGCAAGGGCCAUCCGCGCCCCCUCGAUGCAGGCCGACCGCUUCAUCUCCCUUAUAUGCGGCACCGCACCAAGGAAUUGCUGCAAUAAGCCAAAGUAGCUCGUCGCCCUGGAUCUUUCUGGCCAGACAUGGGCCACGAUGUCAGUCAUGGCCAGUCCGGACAAUCUAUUCAGUUCGGCCCAUUCGGCCAACCUGUCCGUCAGAGGAAGGACGCGAUCCGGGCUGUGGAAUUGAGACCAAUACAACUCUUCCGCCUCGUGAUCCCCUUGGCUCUGGAAGUGUUUAACGGCAUAAGCCGCACUCACAGCCAAAUCCAAGUACGGAUCCUCCGAAUUCCACUGCCGCUCAAAUUGAGCGUACUUGGCAUCCAUAAAACGGCGACGCGUGAGAAACGGCUUGCCAGCCACGAUUUCUCCGGCUUGGCGCAGCUCCUCCUUCAUAGCCCGCAUUGCAGAACGGGCAUCCUUGGCUUCGGCGGCGGCCUUCUUCAGGUCUUCCCGCCCCGAUAGGCGCUCCUUUUCAAGAGCCUCGCUACGGUCGGUAGCAUCCUUUAAAUUCUUGGCCAAUUCGGCCACCUCCGCCCUGCUUAGGCAGUGCGCAACCUUUUCGGCUUUCAACUCUUCGGCCGCCCUCACAGCAGCCGCAUCACUCCUUCGGGCUUGCUCCUUAGCUUGUGCAAGCUCGGCCCGAAGGAUCUCCAUAGCAGCAGCACUGUCUGUAUAAACAGCAUAUAACUUAUCAGAAGAGGGCUUUAACCCACUCAAUAAAGCGGCUGCGGAGAAUUUAUUUACCUUGCGACUCGUCAAGUCGCUGAUUGACAAGGGCGAUAUCAGCAUCUGCCAUGUCCAGUUGUCGACUCAGUUCAGCAAACUGAUUAGUCCGGCUGGCCCCCGGACUAUGCGCCACCUGUAUCAGAACGGCGGUAUUCAUUACCUGAGUUGUUUAGAUUUUCGAUCCUCGGCACGCUGUCAUCUUCGACAACCUACCGAGUCUCAGGGGCUACUAUCUAUACAGGGCGCAUUUUUUAUAUGCACAAACUGUUAGAACAACAAAGGGGUGCGCUAUUUUCGUAUACCUCAAAUCCCGCCAGCAAGCUCAUGGCGGCGUCACGCAAUCCGCUUUCAGCGGACGAAAUCCUUCCCAUCACCAUACGCAUUAACGCACGGUGGUCUUCUGAAAUGGACGCCCUCUCAAGCAAACUCUUCAGUUCUCCCGGCCGGACUCUGGUGGGUGUUGAACUCUUUGGCCCCUCCGGACUCGGGAACGCCCUCCGCGACGACACUUCGGGCUCGCCUGCCUCAUCUGGCGGCGCGGCAGACGGAGGCGUAUCGCUCUCCAUCAUCUCCGGAAGAAGAUCCCCCGAUGAACUCAUCUGAGACGGCUGCAGAUCCGAACUGCGAUAUAAAUAUUUCGGUUACCUACAGAAGCAUAAACGAAGGUAUUCCCUUAUCUCCCCCAUUCAUACUCACGGCUCGUUGGAGGGCUGGCCCUUCGGCGAUGAUUGCGCGUCAGGAUUCUCUCCGGACGCCAGACCCCCCGGUGAGGAUUUCUUCCCACGCUUAGGGGAUUUAACCUCCGGAUCUCCGGAGGUGGUCCUCUUCUCCCUCCGAAGGGAGGGGUCCUUGGUUCCCUCCUCUUCGGCCGCCCCUUCGGGCGAAGUAUUAGCUCCUUUAUCUCCCCCGUCGCCCCCCUCUAUGGGCGCAACCUCCAACAUUCUGACCAGCACGGGCUCCAGUGCGGUCUCUGGGAGGGGGGCCGGACACCUUAUCAACCUUGAUUGUGCCACCCAUUCCUGUAAAGAAUAAAGGGUCAGGAGACGAUCUUUUGAAAGGCAUACAAAUAGAAUGUCCGGGCUUUGAGCUAUUUACUUGAGUAUCCGGGCGAUCGCGGCUUAGUCCCGCAUCCUCGGCCAAAUUCGGACACGCCACCUGCGGUCCGAAGAACAGCUCGUACAUCUCCGAGGGUGUCGCACCCAUGAAAUGCUGGAGGAUACGAGGUCCCUCCGGAUUGAAUUCCCAUAAACGAAGAGGACGACGUUUGCAGGGUAGGAGGUGCCUAGUUAGCAUGACCUGCAUCACCUUGACCAGGUCAAUCUCCCCUGUUUGGAGGUCUCGAAUCCGGCCCUGCAGUGCGGGCACGUCCUUGGACGGCCCCCAGUUGAGCCCUUGGUUGACCCACGACAUCAGCUGCCGUGGAGGUCCCGGGCGGAAAGAGGGCGGCGGCUUUUGCUUGCUGCCCCUAGGAACGGUGAUGUAAAACCACUCCUGCUGCCACAAUCUCUGUUCCUCUUGGAAGGAACCUUCGAGCCACGGGGCGUCGACCUUCCUGCUUAUGGUCGCCCCGCCACACUCCGCUUGGCGCCCCCCGAUCAUCUUCGGCUCCACCUUAAAUGUUUUCAGCCACAGGCCGAAGUGGGGGAUGACGCGGAGGAAGGCUUCGCAGACAAUGAUUAAUGCGGAGAUAUGGAGGAUGGACUCCGGAGCCAAGUCGUGGAAGUCCAGCCCGUAGUAUAACAGGAGCCCCCUCACGAAAGGAUCCGUCGGGAAGCCUAAUCCCCGACGGGGGUGAGAUGCGAAAACGACGUAUUCGCCGGGCUCGGGGGCUGGCACGGCCUGCCCUGGGACAGGCAACCUGUGCGAAACUUCGUAGGCCAGGUACUUGGCCUCACGCAACUUCAAUAUGUCCUCCUCCGUGACAGAGGAGGGCAUCCACCGGCCCUGGAGGUCGGAGCCGGACAUUGUUGUGGAUCCGAAGCGCUCGAAUCUGAAGCUCUAGGUGUUGGAACUGGGAGCAGAGGAAAGAUUCGAUGCGAGGUUGAAAGACAAGGACAGGCCUUGGUCCUCUUAUAAAGGGGGAAGAAAUACCAAGGGCCGUCUCCGUGACCGUUUGGGAUUCCCCUUCGAUAGAGGAGGCGUGGCGACGGGAACGGUUGGGUUACCCACGCACGUAUUGAUGA